rnacentral:lncRNA from 1 species
AGUAACCCACACUAAAAAUUCAGCGAAUCAGGAACACACUGGCCUAAAAGGCUACAAUGUGAACUCUGGCAAUUCAUGUACAUAUUGCAGAGAAAAAUCACUUACUUUAGUAUCAGUUUCCAUUUUCACAGGCUUGUCACCCGACUCAGCAACACCAUUUUCAGCCCCUGCAGCAUCUGCUGUACCCUUAGCAUCUUGCAUGUUUACAUCUGUCUCAUUGGCACUGGGAGCAGCAGUACCACAAGGUGCUUCAUCAGUCUCCAUCUUUGAAUUGUCUUUUUCAGGCUCUUUUGAAACUGGAACUUCAACUUCUUCCUCUUCCAAGAGCUAAAAUUACAUUAAAGUAUUCAGGAAAGCAAGGGGAAAAAAAGAAUUCAAGUUGAGAUAAAAUUAAAAUUUAAAAAGCUAAUUCAACAACUUACUGUUGCUGACUCAACGGACACAAUCCCAUGCAAAUUCAGACGAACUUUGACCUUCAAUUUUGGCCGUUCACUUCUUAUUGUCGGAAAAGGCCCAAUCUACCAUUUAAGAAAUGCCACAAUUUAUAACAAAUGAAAAAGCCGAGCAAGAAUUUAGCAUAAUAAACAAGUAACCUUAUGCUGAAGUAAACAGACUAAAAAAAAAGAUACUCAGUGUCUUAUACAAGGUCUAUGAAUUAAUUACCGUGUAUGUACUGAUCUUUGGAGGGGCCUGCAAAUCACUAACAUCAGAAUAUUGAACAUCAACAGUGAAAGUACUUGACUUGUGGAAUGUCACAGCCUUGAUACUGGGUAUUGGAUUUCCUUUUGGAAAGACAAGUUGUUGUUGUUCUGCUCCUCCAGCCUGAGAAUCUGGACCAGAACCUUUCCAUGAUAGUGAAACUGGGAAAGGGAAGCUCUCAUUGACCUUUUUCAAAUCAGACAGGUUAAGAUGUCAGCUGUGUUCAGGGGAAAAAGAGUCAAAGGACACAAAUUUGACAACAGGACAUGCAGCAACAAUAAUGGGAAUAUAAGGAAUGGAAAUACAAGGAAAAAUCUUGCAUUAUUCCGUAUUCGGGAGAAUAAAGAAAGUAACACCUUGAAAUCAUACUACAAUGCAACCAAAUGCAUACACAGCUGAGAUAACAUUCAACACAGACAGCAAAAUUAUCACGAUAACUUCGUAAAAAGUCAAUUGGAAAAUACACACCUGAAACUCUCGAACUUUGAAUGUGGGACUGAGAAUUGCACAUUCUAAAGCACAACCCCUUGCAACACAUUCACUAGCAUUCAUUGUACGCCUAGGCUCUUUACCAAAGAACUCUGUGAGGAUUUUCAACAUAGCAGGAACCCGGGAGGCUGAGCCAACAACCUCAACCAUAUGAACAUUUUCAACUGCAAGUCCAGCAUCAGCAAGAGCCUUCUCAAGUGGCCUCUUCACACGUUGCAAAAUUGGAGCACUGAUCUGUUCGAACUCCUCUCUCUUGAUGAAACCCCUAACAUCCUUCUCAUCCAUCAAGCACUCAAUAUUCAAAGGGGCCUCAGGAUUGGCACUAAGUACUUUCUUUAGCUUCUCACAAGCUGUCCGAAGCCUAAUACAAGCCCUUGCAUUCUGGAGGACAUCAAUCUUGUAUUCCUCUUUAAAUUUUGCAGCAAAAUGCUGAAAAAGAACUUCAUCAAAAUCCCUACCACCCAAAGAGCGGUCAAAUGAAUGAGCCAAGAUCUUGAGUUGCCCUUUCUUGAAGCCAGCAAUACAGACUUGCAUGCUAGCAUGUCCGAUAUCAACAAAUGCAACAUUUAAUUGGUCAUUUUCAGGUAAAUCAGUUUUAUAAAUACCAUAAGCCAAUGCGGUUGCAGUAGUUUCAUGAAUCAGGCGAAGAGGGUGCAAGCCUGCAAUUGUGGCAGCAUCUAAAACUGCUCUUCUUUGAAGAUCAGUGAAGUACACAGGAAUUCCAAUACAGCAAUCCACUACGGCUGCAUUCAAAUUCUUCUCAGCUAUGCUUUUCAAAUUCGACAAAACCAUUCCCAAAACUUGGGUUGGGGUAAAAGUUCUCAUUUCACCUAAGUACCGAGCAUGAAUCAAAGGAUAUCCAUCAGGACCCUCAGUGACAUUGAAGGGCAAUGACUUGAGAUCUCUUUGCAACUCAGGAUCUGAGAACUGACGGCCAAUUAACCGUUUUAUCUGAGAAAUUGAGUUUUUAGGGUUCAUUGUAGAAGAUGCUGCCCCUGCAGUACCAAUGAAUCUCUGCUUCUCCCCAAAGCAAACAAUAGCUGGAGUUUCGCGCUUUGAUUCAUCAUUCAGCACGACAUCAAUCCCUCUCUGCCUCGCAACUGCAACAAUGCAGCUCUCAUUGCCGAAAUCAAACCCAACAACGCUCAUCUUAAACAGAAAUUACACAAAUUUACUUUAUAAAAUAAGAUUAACCUGGCAUCCAACAAAACAAAAAGAAAUUAGAUUAUAUAUAAGCACUUAACCAGGAAAGCAAAAAAAAUUUAAAAAAAUCAUAAUCACGUUUUGAAUCUAGCCAACUGGAGUACCGUGCAAUCAUAAGUAUUAAAGAAGUGGCAAAAAUUCAUAAUCACUAUUUUAGGAAUCUAGCUACUGGAGCACCAUACUUUGCACAUUAAAUAAAUAACACAUUGCAUCAACCAAGGUGAUAUCAAUACGUUAUGGGCAACAAGUUGCUGCUCAAUAUUCCAUGUCAACUUCCAUGGACUUGAACACAUAAUACCAUUGAUAUAACAAAGAUCAUAACAAUAUUCAAUAAACAUUCCUCCUUAUGUUCCCAUUUAAAGACUCUUAUUACAUUAAAAAAAAAUCUUUAAUAUAAAUAACAAUAUCCAAUAUACAUCCCCCCUUAUGUUCUCAUUUAAAGACUCAAAAGCGCUUCAUGAGUUGAUCAUUCACACAAGAACACAGGCCAAAUAACUAGAUAAGGGUCAGAGGCAAGUGUAAGGGCUAAACAAAUGCAAGCGGAUAUAUAAUGCAACUCAAAUCAAAAUGAAAACACUUCAGUUAAAGGUUAAAAAACCAAGUAGUUCACAUACAUAAAUCAAACCAUUGGAAACAAACCCUAAAAACCUUUACAAUCAGAUAUCAACCCAAAAUGAACACUCCUUCAAAUAAAAUUAAUAAGAAAUGGGAACUCUUUGCAAUGACCAAAUCGAAAUCGCAUUCAAAUAAACCUAAAACAACUAAUUGUAACUUCAAAAUAAAUUCCAACGAUGAAAACACGUCGAAUCAUAAUAAUAAAUUCACAAAAUAUAAAAAUAAGUUAAUUUUUUCCCCAAACGAAUCGAAAAAAUAGAAAUCAAAUAAGGAAAUUACUUGAUUCUGUACAAACAGCUAAAUCUAAAGAGAAGCAAAAAUCAAUGCGAAAAAAAAAACAUCGACCGACGUGCUGAAUAUAAAACAAAACAGAUCUAAGUUCAUGACGGAUAAAUAAAUGCAACAACGACAAUUAAAAAAGAAAUCGAAAGAAGAAAAGCACAAAGAGCCAAGGGCGGCGAUCUUACCCUUGGAAAGGAAAAUUGAGGCGAAAGCAGUUCAGGAAAUUUCUUUUCAAAAAGACCUCUCUCUUUAUUUGGUGUUAUGUUCUUGUACGUUCGCGAGAGAUAGCAUACGAAAACAACCUCACACUCACAGAAGCGAAACAGAGACUUUUUUUUUUUUUUUGCGGGUGGGGGGGGGGGGGAGCGAGGGGGCUUUUAUUUACGAGGGUUUGUGUGGAAUUUUCGAUUUAAUAAUUUAUUAAAAAAGUUUUGAUUUGGAAGGAGUUAUGGAAUGGAAUUGAGUGGUGUCCAUCCACGACUAGAGGUGUCUAGAGAUACCGUGGCUUCUAGAAAGAUCUCCCCGGGAGAAAGUCUUCGGAAUUCUUUAGGUUUUUGGUGAGUUCAUGGGUUGGGCUUUCAUUUGGGAUUCUGAUUUUUCCCAAAUGGAGGCCUUUUUUUUAGGAACUGAUAUCUAAGUAUUUUUCAUUUUCAGUGAUUAUAUUGUAUAUGAUUUUAGGCGAUUAAUUUAUAAUUAAUUUUUAAAUAAGAUAUUUUUUAAUUAUUAUAAUUAAUUUUUAAUUUAUUUUUUAAAUAUAAUCAAAAUAUAUUAAUUUAUUUAACAAUUCAAAUAUAGUAAAAAGAAAUUUCUAAGUAUCAUAUUAGAAAAUUGAUAUUUUGUAGAUCAAUAAAUUUUUAAUAAUAUUAAAAUAUCUCAAAUCAUAAUUAAAACAUACAUCAAUAUAUAAUACGAUUUUACUUCAUGUAAUCAUUAUUUAAAAUAAUAACUGAUAAACACUAUUAAAAUAUAUUAAUUAUUUUAUUAAUUAUUUUGAUAACGAGACAUAGUAAUAAUAAAAAAUUCCUAUUAUUGAAGCAUUUGUAGAAACAAUAAAAUAUAUGAUAUAUUGUAAAAUAAAUUAUUUACUAUUCAAUUUUUAUUUUUAUUUUCUUAAUAGGCAAUAAAUUGAUUAAAAUAAUUUGUAAACGAUAUAUAAGAGGAGGGAUCUAUUUACACUUUUAAACCCUUUUGCAUGUUUUUGUACAAUUAAUAUUUUAAAGAUUCAACUGUUGAAUUUAUCGAUAUAAUUUUACUUGUUAUGUAUAUAAAUUAUUUAACUAAUUUGAUAUCUCUAUCAUAUCGAUCUAAAAAAGUGUCAAUAUUAAUACUUAUUGAAUGAAUUAAUUUUUUUUAAUUUAAAAUAAACAGUUCAAAAUUUUUAAUUUACACCAAAUUUGACAUGCAUGAUCUAUAUAAAUAAAAUAUGAAAUAUGAGGCUGGAUCAUUAAAAUAUUAAUCAUACAAAAAUAUACAACAGAGUGUAAAAUUAUUUUAGUUUUACUCCGGUUAUAAAAAUACGUCAACUUUUAUUUCAAUUAUAAUUAUUUUAAUUAAAAAAUAUAAUAAAUGUAAAUUAAAUUAAUAAUUAUUUUUAAAUAUGCAAUUAUCUCAAAUUCUAUUGAAUUAUAAUUAUUGUUAAGUAUAUAAUUAUUAUAAAUUUUAUUUUAUGUCAAUUUUUAAUUAAUAAUUUUAAAUUAAAUAUUAUAAUUAUUUUAAAAGUCAAUUUAGUAAUAUGAUAAAAAAUAGAGGGUAUUCUUUUCGAAUCAAAAUUUUUUUAAGCUCGUGCUUUUAAAUAAAUAAUAAAUUAUAGAUAGAUAUAAAUAGAUUAUAAAUUAAAAAUUAUUGUGUUGUAUCUCAAAUUAUUAGAUCUAACCAUUACUUGUUUUUAUCAUUUUAAACUAAUGGCUCUAAAGAGAGAAAUAUGCUUUGAGGCAUUCAUUUUUUUUUUCAAAAAAAGUGAAGAUGUGAAUUUUAGUAAUUUAAUGAUUAAGCUAUAAAAUAAAAAGAGUGAUCGUGAAUUAUUACAAAAUAAAAGAGUGAUUGUUAUUAUAACUAGCAGUUGUUUUUUAGCCGAUUAAUUAAAUAAUAUUUAAAUUUUUUUUAUAAAUUUUGUAAUACGAAAUUAAAAUUUAAUAACAUAUAAAUUUAAUUUUGAAAACAUAAUAAGAUUUAAUUUAAAUAAACAAUAUUUUGGAAUUAUUUUUAAAAUAUAAACAUUAUAAUAGCAUAUUGUGCAAAAAUUUAUUUUUUAUAUAUAGUUUUUAACUUAAUUUUAUUUAUUAGUUAAUGGAUGUAGAUUGCUAAUUUAAUUUAAAUAUUCUGGCCAUUAAAUAAUUAAUUGUAACAUUAUUUAUAUUUUUAAAUAUCUAAUUCAGUUUUAAUAGUAUAUUUAAUUUGUAAAAAUGGUGAUAAUUAAUUUAAAAAGAAUUUUUUAAAUAAUUUUAAAUUUUAGAGUGGCUUAUUUUAUAAAAUUGUUAGUUGAAUUAUUAAAUGUAGACAAAUUAGAAGGAUUUAUUAUAAAAAUAUAACUUACAAAACACAAUUAAAAAUUAUAUAAAGAAGAUAAAGUGGUUUAUGUUGCAAAUUUCCCUCCACAAAUGCUUACUUUCUUCCUUGUCACAUGUAAAAUUUUUAUAAUGUAAACAUAUUAAAAAUUUAAGAAUUUUGUAAUAUAUAUGAGUUUGAAUGGAUAAGAUGUAAUAUAUAAAAAUCAAAGUAUUUAUUCGAUCUAUCUGUUUGAAUAAAAAACAAACAAAUGUUUAAUAAUUGUGUUUGAUUGGAAAUCAAAUAAUUUUUUCUUUAAGUGUUAAUGUGUGUGUAUAUAUAUAUAUAUGACAACAAUGUGCAUACUUUUUAUAUUUAUGGGUAUUUUAAAUUACUGAUAUUUAGUAUUGAGAAGUAUUUAACACAUUACUAUAAAAUUAAGAAUAAUGUUAAUAAAAAUAAAACAAUAUUAUUAUUGAUAGAAAUCAAGAUUGAUUAGAAGCAUUGAAAGGUAAAAAUGUUUUAGAUCUUUAUGCCCCCAUUGCAACCUGAAUCCCACAUUGCUAGCAUAUGGUAAACAAAACAUAAGGAGUGGUGUAUAAAGAGAGAGGAUAGGGCAACAUUAAAACAUACUUACCUGGACGAGGUCAAUGAGUGAUCAAGAAGACUCAUGGCCUAGAGUAGUGACCUGCAUUGCACUUGGUAGGGGGCCUACUUUAAGGUCUCCCCAAGAGGGAGAACCUACGUCAUAAUUUGUGGCAGUGGGAGCUUGCGUUCGCGCAGCCCCUAUCAAUCUUAAGUUUUGAAAACUAAUUGGAAGCCAUUUGUAGGAUAUAACUGCUUUUUCCGUAUGGGUAAUUUGCUUCAAAAGAUGUUAUUAUGUGCUCUCACCUUAUCCAAUACCCUUUGGUUUUGUUUGUCAUGUGGUAGGGAUUUAGGUUCUAAGUUGUGGGCUUAGGUUGUGUUAGGGGCAUAAGGUUAAUGCUUAUAAGCACUAGUUAACAUUUUUCAAUCUCGAUUUUUAUCUGUAAUAAUAUUAUUUUAAUCAAUUAACAUUGUUCAUUUUAUAAAGGUGUAUUAAAUAUUUUUCAAUAUCAAAUGUCGGUCUUUUAAAGUGUCAGUAAAUAUAAAAAUUAUGUCCAUUGUUUCCAUAUUUAAUACAACUCAUUUUAUUUGGUAUUUUUGUAAUACCCUGAAAAUUUCUAUUGUAAGAUAUUAUCUUUGAUAAAGUAAAAUAAGGAAAUAAAACAAUAAGAAAGGGAAUUUUGAGUUAUGACAACAUUGAGAAGUAAAUUAUGAUAGAAUUAAUUCAAGAAAGGACUAAAUUGUAAAAAUGAGAAAAGUUUUGUGGUUCAAGAGUAAAUAUUCAGAACUUGAGGGGUUAAAGUGUAAAUAUGAAAAAGUUAAAGGACCAAUAGUACAAAUAUUUUAAGGCUGGAAUGAUCUAAAGACUAAGGAAAAUGGAUGAAUUAGGACCAAAUUGAAUAAAUGAAGAAAUUAUGAGGGAUUAAAUCGUAAUUUUAUCAAAUUAAAUGAUGACUCAAGGAUGAAAUUUUAAAAGACAAUCAAGGGCAAAAUGAUCAAUUGGAAGAGAGAGAAAUCUAGAAAGUAAUGAUGAUGUUGAUGAUAUUUUAUGAUUAUUUAAUUAGAUAUAUAUUAUUUUAAUGAGAUAUUUUAUUAUUUUAUUAUUAUUUUAUUAUUAAUUAUUUAGUAUAAAAGGAAGGAAAGAUGAUGAAUUUUCAUCCUCUUUCCAUGCAUGCAACCAAUGUUAGAAGAGAAGGAAAAGAAAGAAAUUUUCUUUUCUUUACAAUUUGGUCUUUCCACCAAAAAUUUACCAUUUUCACCUAGAAAUCAAAAGAAUUUCCAUAGCUACUAAGAGAGAAAAAUGUUAAGGGGACCAUGGGGAGUUAGAAUAUCAAGUUGGAUUCAAGAAAUAGAAGCUGGAGGAGAGAAAAAAUCAAGUUAAAGAUUGGUAUCAAUAGAACAAGGUAAGUACAUCAAGAUUUCAAUAUGUUUUUAAGCUUAUUAUUAUUGACAAAGCAUGGAAAUAAUGUUAUAGUAGAGUUUUCUUACAUAAGGUUCUAUGUUCUUGAUAUGUUAGUGAAGAGAAAAUAAGAGAAAGUGAUGAGAAAUAGUGUAGAAAAAAAAAAUAAGGGUGUUAUAAACAUGGUAAUUAAUAUCUUGCACUAAAACAGUUUUGGACAACAGCAAUAGUCUAACUUUAAAAAAUCAUCAAAAAUUGUAGAAAUCUAAUUAUAGGAUGAAUAAAAUAUGAAAUUAAAUCUUAUUAAGUCUAGUUUCUUAUAGAAGAAAUUAUGUAAGCAAUUAAAUUGUAAAUCAUGAGAUAUAAUAAAAUUUGUGAGACAAGGUUAGAAUGAUUUCGGGUUCCCCUAUUCUGAUUUGGAAAAUCAUAAAAAAAUAGAGAAAAAUAAUUAUGGGAUUAAAUUUAUAUUUUUAGAAUCCUGAAUGAGUCUAUUUUCAAGAGAAAUAAACAAGAACAUCAUUUGAAUUCUGUACGAGGAGAUAAUUAAUUUUUAGUGAAGAAGGGUCAGAACUGUCAGACAGCAGAACAGGGGUAACUUUAAAGAAUAAACUGUACUUAUUGGAUGAACCAAAAAUUCUGAAAAUUUUAUGGUAAGAAGAUAUAUGAAUCUAGUUUUAAGGAAAAUUAGUGGAUCUAAAUUUGGAGUUCUAUAGUUCCAGAUAUAAAUAAUUUAGUGACUAUGACACAAAUGGAUAGCUUGAAUAUUCAUAAAAGUAAAUAAUAAAAAUUAUAGAUAAUGUUACUUACAAGUGUCAUAUAUACAUUAAGGAUGUGGAAUGGAGAGGAGGAGGAGGAAAAAAUAUGUAUGAAUAUUCAUCUAGCAUGGCUAAUUUGCAUGUUUUAGGCUCAGGGACUAAAUUGAAUAAAAGUAAAACUUUAUGGGCAAUUUUAUAAAAAUUUCAGAAAUGAACAAAUUGAAAGAAAUGAAUUAUUUUAUUAUUUAAAUUACAAAAUUUAAUGAAAUUAUUAAUUUAGUUCAAGAUCGGGGGAAAACAUGUUUUAGGGAUUAAAUUGAAAAGUGUUGAAAUUAUGGAAAAAUUUUGAUAUUUUAUAGAAUUCAUGGACUGUUCUCGAUAUGUAUGAUAAUAAUAGCUGUAAAUAAGGAUUAAAUUGCAAGAAUUUUAUUUUCCUGGCCCUAAGGAUGAAAUCGUCAUUAAUUAAAAGUUGAGCGGCAAAAUGGUAAUUUUUCCUAGAUCAUUAAUUAAAUGCAUUAGAAAAUGAAAUGAAUGAAAAUUAUGUUCAAAUUUAUUUAUAAAGAUCCAGACGACUCAAAUACGAGACUUGAUCGUGGAAAAAAAAAGAUAUCGGAUUAAUGAAAUUAUAAACACAAACAAUCAAUGAAGUAAGUUUGUGUAACUUGAAUUGUAUUUUUAAAUACUUGAAAUAUGUGGUUAUGUGAUGAAAAUAUGAUUUGAAUUUUCAAUUCAUGAUAAUUGAUGAAAUAUUGAUAAUACUCGAUAUAAAUUGAAAAUAAAUCUCGGUUGAAUGGAAUGGAAUUCAUGAUUAUACUUGUGAAUUGUAUUUUUGUCAUGCAUAUGAAAUUGAUAUGGAUAUAUUUGAUAAUGCCCGAUAAAAUGAUAAAUCCCGUUGAACAAAGGAAAAUCGACGGAUGUAAGUUUCCUGAAUUGGUUGUAGUUCUGCAUAUGUUGCAGACACACCAUAGCUCGAAAGAGUGUCCCGAUAUUAGUCCUUUCGAGCUUCCCGUUAUAUGGUUCUUGCUAGCUUCCCAUUAUAACUCUUCGGAGCGUCCCGAUAGGUUGUGAUCUGCAUGUGUUGUGGACACACCGUAGCUCUUAAGAGCGUCCCGAUAUAUGGCUCUUCGUGAGCUUCCCGAUAGGCUCUUUGUGAGCUUUCCGAUAGUGCUCGCUUGAACUUCCUGAUAUAUGGCUAUCCGGAGCUUCCCGAUAGGCUCUUCGUGAGCUUCCCGAUAUGGUUCUUUGUGAACUACCUAAUUUUGGCUCUAUUGAGCUUCCCAUUAUAGCCCAAAUUAGCUUCCCGAUAUUGCUCUUUAUGAGCUUCCCAUUAAAUAGCUCGAGACGGUAAAAAAGAUCUAGCCCGGACGGGUGAUCCUAUCCUGAUAUAGCCCUCCCGAAGAAUAUGUGUAAAAUGGAUUUAGCCCGGACGGGUAAUUCGAAUUAGGGUCUAAAUUUAGCCUGGACUGGUAAUUCAGAUCCAAGCUCAUUAGAGUAAUUGUCAUUGCAGGGAAUUUAGCAUGGACUAGUAAUCCCGACAAUACUCUAUGAGUUUAUAUUACAAGAGAUUUAGCCUGGACUGGUAAUCCUGCUGUAAGGAUGAGGUUUGUUGGAGUGUGCUUUCUGGAAAAAGGGUAUACCCAUAUGUGUACGAAUUGACAGACCCGGAAUUGUACACAAAAGUGUACUAUUGAAUAUCCAUCGAAAUUCCAAGGAAUUCAAUGGGAUAAAUAUGAGAAAUGGAAGAAUAUGAAAAUUAUGAAAUUAAUGAGCUCAUUAAUCAUUUAUCUUUGUAUUGAAUUUAUGUAAUGAUUUGUACAUGUUAUAUGGACACAUGGUGUGGAAAGUAUAUGAUACAUGAAAUAUUAAUAAAAUGAAAUGAAUGAUAUAUGUUAUUAAAGAAACGGUAAGAGAAUGAUAUGUAUCUUGACAUGUACAUAUGUGAUUAUCUUUUAUAUGUUAAUAUAAGGAAAAUAUGUAAGUUAAGACGAGUAUUAAAUUCAAAUAUGACAUGUUGAGAAAAUAAGAAUUUAUAUGAAAUAUGUGUAAGUACACUAACAAGUGUUGUUGUUGAUGCUUAGGCAAGUGCCAAGCUAUUGAUUGAAUGAUAAUAUAGUUAUUGAUGCAUUGAAUCGGUAAGUAUUUAAGUGAAAUUUUUUAAGUGAUCUGCAAAUGGUAAUAAUGCUCUGAAACUCUGUUCCGGCGGCAAAUACGAAUUAGGGGUGUUACAAUUUUUAUCUUAUCUAAUCAAAUAGAUUAUUCUUACAUGAUUUUUGAGAGAUUGAAAUCUCUCUUGAAUCAUCUCUGUCUCUAUGUAUAUAUAUCCGUCAUAUAAAAACUCUCUGUUAAGUUCUAAAUAAUUUAAUUAAAAUGAUGAUGUGACUUUUUUAAUUAGUAUGUAAUAUAUUUAGUUCUAAACACUUAUAUUCUAUCAAUUUGUUCCUAAUUUUAAAUAAUUUAAUAAAUUUAACCCUCCAUAUAUAAAAACUCUAUUAGUUUGAUCCUUAAACACAACUUUAUCGCACUAGAAUUAUAAUUUAAAUUCAACUCAUACCAAUAGAUUUCAACGUAUAAUGUUAAAUUAAAUUGUAUAAAAGAAUUUGUUUUUUAUUUCCAAAAAAAAAAGUCUUGUAAUUAAAUAAUUGGGCAUGGUGCAGCUGCAAGCUAUGCAGACUGGCUUGAUUUUCCAUGUAUUAUAUAUUGUUGUUUGCUAUUAAGUGGUGACUGCACCACAAGUCUAAGCUAUACAUCGUAUCUAUGUUUGUAUUCAUUUCAUCUUCAACAUCAUCGUCCAAGAGUAAAAGUGAGCAGUGCAAGCUAUGGAAGUCGACACAACACAGUUGUUAUUACAUUUUAAUUAACUUUUGCAACUAAAGGAUGUUAGCUUAUUAUUGGGCUUCUAUUAAUAAUUGAGGUUUAGUCCAAACCAUAGGGCUAUAAUUUCUCACUAAUCAGUUACUGUUUGCCGUCCUUGAUUAUGUUUAAUUGUUUGAAGUAAUGGAUGGUAUGUAAUUCGGCUGCUAGUUUUAAAUUUCUAAAGUUCAUUGAAAAUUUGUUGUUUCAAUUUGUAGUUGGCGCAGACAUCAUUGAAAAUCUUAUAAGCAUAUUGUUAAAAUGAUAGCUUUAAUUUUCAAGCUAAUUAAACGCAAAGUUUACAUAUGCAUGCACCAAACUAGAGCAGCGAAAUGUGUCAAAACUUUGGCUUGAGUUCACAAGCCAUGAAAGCCAAGUUUCAAUAGAUGUAGAAGGCUUGGAUUUAAAAGCCAAUUGAAGCAUAAUGUCAAUUUUUGCUGGCAAAAGUGGGCGCCGAAAGCUACACGGAAGAUUUGCUCUUUCAAUUGUCAAGCCUUAUUAAAUGUGGCUAUUGACUUGAAGGUGAUGUAAACUAGUAUAAUUAGGACUUGGUUUUUAGCCAUGAGACACAUCAACUUUGAGAUUGAAUUAGCUAGUGAGUGGCUAAUUGAGAGCAAUUGUAUAAUAGCUCUUAGGUAUUUUUCGGGGGUGAGUUGUAAGCUUUUCAGAUUGUGUUUUGAGUGUCAAAACAUUUGUAAUCUUCACCUUUUUGUUAUAGUGAAAUUUUUUGUUGUCUCUACUCAUGGAGGUAGGCUUUAAAGUCGAAUCACGUAAAUAGUUAUGUCUCUUUAUUUAUUCUAUUUCGCACAUUAUUUAUUGUGGUGCUAUUUAUUCCUGAUGAAAUUAUUUGUGGUCAUAUUGACGUAGUUAAUCCGAUCCAUCCUCAACAAACUAGUAUCAAAACUUUGUUUUGACUAUUUUUGUGGUAAUUGCAAAGUGGUUGUCCUCGUGAUUUAUUUUUGUUGCUUCCGUUGUCACUUUAAAUAUUGAUAUGGAUGCAAGUGUAUCAUCGACUAAAUAUGAAGUCGAGGAAUUCACCAGGAAAAAUAGUUUCCACCUAUGGCGCAUCAAGAUGCGGGUGAUGUUGAUUCAACAAGUAUUGCUUAAAGCGUUGUCUGGUAGAGGCAAAGUAACAAACACGCUUUCGGAAGAGCAAAAGGAUGAGAUACUAGAGAAAGAACAUAGUGUUAUUCUACUAUGUUUAGGCAAUGAAAUAUUACUAGAGGUAGCUGAAGAGAAUAUGACGUUAGGUUUGUGGCUCCGAUUAGAGAGUAAGUAUAUGAUGAAGCCAUUGAUGAAUAGACUCUACCUCAAGCAAUGACUAUACACCCUGAAGAUGGAGGAAGGUUCACCUAUUUUACAACAUCUUAACACUUUCAACUCUAUUAUUAUGCAUCUCAAUAAUAUUGGUAUUAAAAUCAUGGACAAGGAUCAAGCAUUGAUUGUUCUAUGUUCUUUACCUUGCUCAUAUGAGAAUUUUGUUGACACAAUGUAAUGCAGUUGUCGUAACCAUUUUUUUUGAAAACGGGAAUCGACUUGGAUUUUGAAAAUGGAAACGAAGAACUGGAGUCGCCACCAAUCCUUUUUGAUGAGGUGUGAUCGGGUCACCUUAAAUUAAUCAUUUUAAUAAAAGUUAAGAUUUACUAAAACGAUAAUUUUUGGUCUAAGAAAAUCAGAAAAUGAGUUCGGGAGUCAGUUACUCACGAGGAAGGAUUAGCACCCUCGUAACGCCCAAAAUUGGUACCUAGUUGAUUAAUUAGUGUCCUUGUUGUCGAAAAUUUGAAAACUUGAAAGACUUAGAAAUGUGAUUCCUUUUUUGCAAAAAAAAAAUGCUCAAAUGUUAAAGACCUUCUUGUCUCGAAGUAAUAAAACACCAUGUCCAGUAAGUUAGGACCCGGCAUCUCGAACUUUGAGAACAAGCUUGCCUUUUAUUUAAAAUUAACAUGUUUUAAAGGAUAUUCGGUUUGUUAGGGUGAACGAGGAAAAUCGAAACCCAGUGAGUUAGGGUACGUUUCCUCGAAUUUUCGAACACCAAAUAUCGCCUUUAUUUGAGAAAAAUCUUAUUUCGAAGUAACAAAAUGUCAUACCCGGUAAGUUAGGGCACCACACCUCGCAUCCCCGAAAAUAAGCAUUUUUAAAAUUCGUAUUGUGGUUUAAAAGAAUAUUCCAUGAUUUAUGUUAAAAGAGAAAUAUCGAAACCCAGUAAGUUAGGGCACGAUUGUCUCGAAUUACCAAAUACGGAGUAUUUACUUUUAUGAAAGAAUUAUUUUGGGUUAAGGCAUCGGGUGAAAAACAUAAUGUGAUUUAUAGUAAAACAUGAAAGCAAAUUAUGGUGCUAAUACGUAAUAAUAAGCACGAUAGUGUCUAACAUAAUAAUACGAGCAAUUAUGAAAGGUGAAAUAAUAGCAAGGUUAGUAAACAAACGCAUGAGGAAAAUGAGAUGAUCGAAUACAUAGGCCAAUAAAUAAACAAAAUAAAUAAAUAAAACAUGACAAAAUAAAAUGACAGUGAUAACGAAAACGAUAAUAAUAGGAAUAACAUAAGUAAUAAUAGUAAGAAUGUAAAUAUGAAACGGUAAGGAACAUACAUAUAUGUAAAAUGUAUAAUACAAGAUUAAAAAAUAUAUAUACGAUAUUUGUUGAAAACAGUAAUAAUAUAUAAAAAUGAUGACGAUAUAUAAAUGUAUACAUGUAUGUAUUAAAAUAUACGUAAUAAUAGAAAUAAAAAUAUAUAUGUAGUAUUAAAAAUAUAAAUACAUAAUAUAUAUAAAGAUAUAAUUUUAAAAUGUAUAUGCAUGAUAUAUAUGAAAAUAUAUACAUAAUAUAGUUAUUAUUAAAAAAUAUAUAUAUACAACAUGUAUGGUAGUAAAAAUAGUAUUAAAACAUAAUACAUACAUAUAAGAUCGCCUAAAAAAAUGCUAAUGCUAAUAAUAGUAAAAAUAAAAUGCUAAUAAAUAAUAGAGAUAGUAUAAUAAUGGAAAUAUAAAUAGAUAAGAAACAUAAUAGAUGAAUAAUAAGGAAAUGAAAACAAUAAUAAUCAAAAUACAAUGGUAAUAGUAAUUACAAAGAUGAUGAUGAUAAUAAUAACAUUAAAGUAAAGUAAACAAUAAUACUAUAUAUAAAUAUAUAUGUAUAUACGUAUAUAGUAAAAAUACACACUACUAUAUAAUAAUAAUAAUAAUAAUAAUAAUAAUAAUAUAGAAAUGCAAAAAGCAAAUAUAAUAAAAAUAUUAAAUUAAAGUAAUAAAAAAACAAUACCAUGUGUAGGUAUAUAUAUAUAUAUGAAGAUAUACACUAAUAUAUAAUAAUAGUAAUAAUAAUAAAGUAGUAAAAAAUAUAAUUAUAAUAGUAAAAUAUAACAAAUAGUAGUAAAAGAAAAUAAUAAAAUUAUCUAACUCAAUAAUAGAGGAGCUAAAUAACUAAACUAGGGACUAAAUUGAGUGUAGAACGAAAGUUCAAGGCCAAUUUAAAAUAAAAAUAAAAAGAGAAGGCUGAAUAAAACACGCGAGAUAAAUGGAGGGACCAAUUCCGCUAUUAUACCCUAUCCCUAAAACGAUAUCGUUCCAUCAACUAUCCCUCAAAUGGUUAGAGGAUCAAAUUAAGAAAGAUUAAAAUUACAAGGCAUAAUUAAGGAAUAAAAAAAAUUGGAUUAAAACAUGACAGAAAUGCGGAAGGACCGCGCAAGUAAUUAUCCCAGUAGCAGCAAAACACGCGGAUCCUCAGGCAUCGGGUUGGGUCGCGCACAGUUCACAUGAAACGGCAUCGUUUUGGCGCUGUGAGUUAAGGCCCAAAACGGCGCCGUAUUAUGCCAUUAUAUAAACCCAAAUUUUUUUAAAAAACAUGCAUUCUUUUGCUGUUUCAGAAAAAAAAUGGGAAGAGUUCUUCCCUUCUUCUGGGAAAGCCCCAGAUUCCGGCCAGGAGGGCCACCACGCACUCCCGCCGUCACCGAUCCGCCACCAUCACCGGCCACCGCGUGAGGUAUAUUUUUUCUUCUUUUUUAUUUAUUUUCUAUUAUUAUUUUUUGUUUACAAUAUAUGUAUAUAUAUGCGAAUAAAAGGGUGUGAAAAUAGAAAAGAAAGAAAAAAGAAAUAAAUCGAAAGAAAAUGAAAUCACCUUUGUUUUUCUGAUUUUUGAUUCUAUGUUUUCGUUUCUUCUUUUAAUGUUUUUCUCUUGAUUGGAUAUUUUGUGCCUUUGACUCACUGAUUUUGUGUUUUAAAAUCAAAUGCUUCUUUUUAUUUCUCACAAAAAAACUGAAUCCUUUUUACAAUUUCGUUUUGGUUUAUAUAUUUGUGCACACUGCUCCUUUUUGCUUUCUUUUUUCUCUCGUUUAAUGCUUGCAGGUGAAUGACGGUGGACUUGACCUGUCGGUGGGAGCAGAGGCGGUGGUGGAUGGGACAUGGAGCAAGUGGCUGAAGCAGCUUAGGGUUUUCUUAGCUUUUUUCUUUUGUUUUGUGUUUAGGUUGGGCUAGGGUUUUGAUUUGUCUGGGCUAAGAAUUUUGGUUUAAGUUGGGUAUUGGGUUUGGGUAGGUGUAAUUGGGUAGGGCAAAUUGGGCUUGUGAGGUUAUAUUGGGCCCGGGCAAGGAUUGGGUUGUACAGCUGCCCCUCUUUGCUCGUUGUCAUGUAAUGAGAAUAGAGCAAAGACUUUCGAAAGACCAAUCUUGUCUAGUCUCGAGUCUCCACUUUUUUGGUGCUCUUAUUCUUCAGGUAGCUUUAUUCCCAUCUAGUGCGACUCGUCGCUUUACUUCGCUCCAUUGCAACUUCAGAGAAAUAAUAUUUGCUAUCUUUAGUCUGUUCCACUGCAACUUCAGAGAGAUAGGAUCUGUAAUUUAGCUUCAAUCUGUUCCAUUGCAACAUCAGGGAAAUAAGAUUCGCUAUUUUCAGCCUACUCCACUGCAAUCUUCAGGGAGAUAAGACUUGUGACUUCAAUCUUCUCCGCUAAAACUUCAAGGAGAUCUGCUGUGGCUUCGAGCCGCUCCAACGCCAUUUCAGGGAGAAAAGAUUUGUAAUUUUCAGCCUGUUACCCUACUGCAUAGGGGUUUAAGGCCCAUCAAUUCUGCUAUGUUUCCCUACUACUUAGGGGGUUAAGAUUCGUCAAUGUUCAGCCUGUUACCCUACUGUUUAGGGGUUUAGGGCUUGUCACCUUUGAUCUGUUUCCCUACUGCUUAGGGGGUUAAGAUCUAUGAAUUCAACCUGUUACCCUACUGUUUAGGGGGGUAAGGUUUGUCAAUCUUCGACCUGCUCCACUACUGCUUAGGGAGAUAAGAUCUCUAAUUUGGUCUGUUACCCUACUGCUUAGGGGUUUAAGACCCUUUGUCUUCGAUCUACUCCACUACUGCUUAGGGAGAUCAGAUCUGCAAUUUGGUCUGUUACCCUACUGCUUAGGGGUUUAAGACCCUUCGUCUUCGAUCUGUUUCCCUACUGCCUAGGGGGUUAAGAUCUGUAAUUUGGUCUGUUACCCUACUGCUUAGGGAGAUAAGGCUCGUGGAUUCACCGAUUCCACUGCACCAUCCUCUUAGGAACAUGAUCUGUAAAAUCAGUUUCAUGCAUCUAUGUUUAUGCCAAAUAAUUAGGAAGCUAUGAUCAAACGCUCCUAACUAGAUGUGUUAUGAAAGUGUCGAAUAAAUGUAUGAGUGAGAAUGGAUCCCUUUUUAAUGCUUGGGUUGUCAUUGCUCUUUGUUCAUCAAGGUUUUUUCACUGAAACGGUAUUUUGUCUUCUUGUUCAUCUUAGUUCUUUGAACAGAAAACCUGGAGAGGUAGUCCCGAUUUAAACUCUUUCUUCUCAAAUGCUCCCAAUCUUUAAGUUUGGUUAGUUCUAAAUAAUAGCUCUGUUUGAGGUUCCUAUACUAUUUAGAAACUUUCAGAGUAAUAUGCAGAACUCUUUUUGCAAAAAUGACUUUAGUCUAUUAAUCAUCAUUUCAAUGCAAAAUGCUUGAAAAAGAUCACAACAAUGACAGGAAUGAAAUUUGUCAGAAACAAAACUUGAGGGGAACAAAUAUUGCUGGAAUACAAAAUGGAUAGAAAGAAAAUAGGUGCCCCAAAUAUCGUAGCAUGAGCUUCUAUGUACGAACUUCUUGAGGAUUCCAUUUUUGCUCGAUGUGUUUUUAGGAGAUUUAGAGUAUCCUUGUAGAUGCCCCAAGAUGUAACGUCUCUCCUCCUUGUUAAUUUAGGUAUCGUAUGCCCUACAUUUGAUCAAUAUUUGAAUCGCCCUUUUACGGGUUUUCAAUUCAAAAUCCCUUUGGUCUCAAGGUACCCUUUGCGAGUUUUCACCUUGGCCUCUCCCUUUUUUUUUAGGCGAAGUAUUUCUUAACCGAAUCCGAAUUCAUGGGAUUGGGUAAAGUCUUGCCAUCCAUUUCAGCCAAUAUCAAUGCUCCUCCAGAAAAUGCCUUCUUUACCACAUAAGGUCUUUCCCAAUUAGGCAUUCAUUUUCUUCUGAUAUACUUUUGUAUGGGCAGGAUCUUUUUCAAUACUAGGUCUCAUUCAUGGAAUUCUCUGGGACGAACCUUUUUGUUGUAAGCUCGCAUCAUUCGCUUUUGGUACAUCUGACCAUGGCGAAUAACCCUUAGCCUCUUUUUUUCAAUCAAAUUCAACUAAUCGUAUCGGGACUGGAUCCAUUCUACUUCGUCCAACUUUACUUCUGACAAAAUUUUGAGGGAAGGAAUCUCGACCACGAUAGGUAAAAUGCUUCCAUUCCAUAGACCAAUGAGAAAGGCGUUGCCCCGGUAGAAGUCCUGAUAGACGUUCGAUAAGCAUAGAGGGCGAAUGGUAGCUUCUCAUGCCAAUCUUUAUAAGUUUCUGUCAUGUUUCCCACAAUAUUCUUGAUGUUCUUAUUGGCUGCUUUGACUGCACCGUUCAUCUUUGGGCGAUACGGUAACGAGUUGUGAUAUCUGAUCUUGAACUGACUGCAGACAUCUGCUAUCAUGCUGUUGUUCAAAUUCAAUGCAUUGUCAGAUAUGAUCCUUUCCGGUAUUCCAUAUUGACAGAUGAUUUCCUUUUUCAGGAACUUGCUAACUGCUGAUUUAUUGACAUUGGCGUAUGAAGCGGCCUCCACCCAUUUGGGGAAAUAAUCAAUGACCACAAAGAUGAAACGAUGCCCAUUUAAAGCUUUUGGCGAAAUUGGCCCAAUCACAUCUAUGCCCCACAUCGAGAAAGGCCAUGGCGAAGUCAUGACAUGCAGAGGUGAGGGAGGUACAUUAAUCUUGUCUCCAUAGAUUUGGCACUUAUGACAUCUUUUAGCGUAGUUAAUACAGUCUCCUUCCAUGUGGACCAAUAAUAACCGAACCUCAUAAUUUGCCUGGCCAUUGUAAAACUAUUAGCCUGUGUCCCACAGACGCCCUCAUGGACUUCUUCCAAGAUUUUCUUAGCCUCAAUAGCAUCUACACAUCUCAACAGUACCUGAUCCUUCCUUAUUUUGUAUAGGAUCUCCCGUCUAAGACAUAAUCACUAGCCAGUCUUCUCAACGUCCUUUUGUCAUUCUCAGUAGCUUGGUCGGGGUACUCACGAUUCUUCACAUAUCGCAGGAUAUCGUGGUACCAAGGGUGAUCAUCAUUUUCUUCUUCUUCUUCGAGGUUGUAGCAAUGAGCCAGAGCUUCAUAAAUGCUCAUUUGGAUUGGUUUCACAUUCUUUUGCUUAUUCACCUUGAUCAUAGAGGCUAAAGUUGCUAGGGCGUCAGCCAUCUGAUUUUCUUCUCGCGGGAGGUCGUAGAAGACAAUAUCAUCAAACUCUUUAAUUAACUCAAGGAUCAGCCUUCGGUAAUUGAUUAAUUUGGGUCUCUUGUCUACCAUUCACCUUUGAGUUGAUAAAUCACUAGGGCAGAAUCUCUGUAUACUUCUAACACCUUGAUUUUACGCCCUAUGACCGCGCGAAUUCCCAUGAUGCAUGCUUCGUACUCUGCCAUAUUGUUCGUGCAGUCAAAAUCCAAUUUACUAGUGAAUGGAUAAUGAUCUCCGUUUGGGGAUACCAGGACUGCCCCGAUUCCGUUACCCACAGCAUUUGAUGCUCCGUCAAAGUUUAGCUUCCAAGGAUGACCUUCUUGAGGGUCUUCUUCAGUGGUUGCUAUAUACAAUAGAUCUUCAUUUGGGAAGUUAAACUUCAGAGGCUCGUAGUCCUCCAGGGCUCUGCUGGCUAGGAAAUCUGCUAUCGCACUCCCUUUUACGGCCUUCUGGUUCACAUAGACUAUAUCAAAUUCAGAAAGUAGAAUUUGCCAUCGGGCCAUUCUCCCGUUCAAAGCAGUCGACUCCAUCAAGAACUUCAGAAGAUCCAUUUUAGAGAUCAGCCAAGUUGUGUGGUACAACAUGUAUUGUCUCAGUCUUCGGGUUGUCCAGAUUAAGGCACAACACAACUUUUCAAUGAACGAGUAUCUCGUCUCACACUCAGUAAACUUUUUAAUGAGGUAAUAUAUCGCUCUUUCUUUCCUUCCCGAUUCAUCGUGUUGGCCAAGCACGCAACCUCUAGAAUUUUCAAAUACCGUCAAAUACAGUAUCAGUGGCUUAUUUGGACUAGGUGGUGUCAACACUGGGGCAUUAGAUAAAUAUUGCUUAACUAUGUCGAAAGUCUUCUGGCAUCCCUCGUCCCAAACACUAGGGUUGUGUUUCUUAAGGAGACGGAAUAUGGGGUCAAAUUUCUCGGUUAGUUGUGAAAUAAACCGAGCGAUGUAAUUUAAUCUUCCUAGGAAUCCCCGAACUUCCUUCUGAGUACGUGGUGGAGGUAACUUUUGUAUGGCUUUGACUUUAUCUGGGUCAAUCUCAAUCCCUUUUUCACUGACCAUGAAUCCUAGCAGUUUUCCUGACCUGGCCCCGAAGGUACAUUUUGCUGGAUUGAGUUUCAAUUGGAAUUUUCUAAACCUCAAAAAUAAUUUCCUCAAGACUUGCACAUGCUCUUCUUCAGUUCGAGAUUUGGCGAUCAUUUCGUCGACGUAGACUUCAAUUUCUUUAUGCAUCAUAUCAUGGAAUAGGGUUACCAUGGCUCUCUGAUAUGUUGCUCCUGCAUUUUUCAAUCCGAACGGCAUCACCUUAUAGCAAAAGGUUCCCCACAUGGUCACAAAUGUGGUUUUAUUCAUGUAUUCAGGAUGCAUCUUGAUUUGAUUGUACCCUGAGAAACCAUCCAUGAAGGAGAAGAGUGAGUAACCUGCCGUGUUAUCCAUUAAGGUGUCAAUAUGAGGCAACGGCAAAUUAUUCUUCGGGCUGGCUUUGUUUAAGUCUCUGUAGAGGGGGUUAGGCUUGUGUGACCACUUCUCUCCAUCGCUGGGCAUACUGCCUAAAACUCUCAUUAUGCUUUUUCUCCAUAUUCUGUAAAGUGAUUCUAUCAGGGGCUGUGUCUGCCACAUGUCCGUACUGCUUCAUGAAAGCUUGUGUUGGAUCUUUCCAUGAACCAAUCUGGGCACGACUCAGUUGGUUGUACCAUCUAGAAGCGGCCCCAACCAGACUUUCUUGGAAGCAGUGAAUUAAUAAUUGGUCAUUAUUGACAUGGCCUGCCAUUCGUCUGCAGAGCAUAGUGAUGUGAGCUUCAGGACAUCUAGUCUUGUUGUAUUUCUCAAAUUUCAGAGUUUUGAACUUGGGAGGGAGUACCAGGUCCGGAACCAAACUUAAUUCCUUAGCGUCGAUUCCACCACGAUAGUCGGUGCUUUCCAUUUUUAAAAAUUUUUCUUUUAACCAUCUACACCUUUCUUCAAGCUCUCUCGGGAGUUCUACCCUUGUCAUUUCUGCUUCUGUUGCUUCAUCGAGAUUGAGGACCACAGGGUUAGUUGGGUUAUCCCCCGGAUUAGAGCCUGAGCCAGCCUGAUAAUUCAUCGGUGCCGAAACAUCGGCCUGAAAUGGUUGGGGUCUAAUUGUGAUCGAUGGCCUUUUUGGAUACAUAUCAGGUUGUGUCUGAACGUCUACUGGGGCAAAACCCGGAGGGUAGGUAGGAUCUUCAUUAUCAUCUUCCGCAUUGAUCAAUGGGCUUUUCCCUUUUUCUAAUCCGCUAGCCAAUAAACGUGUUAGUUGGUCCAUCAUGCUUUUCUGGGACUCCAGCAUCUGGUCCCUCAUAUCUUGCUGGAUUUUGGCAAGUUGUUCUUGCAUACGUGUUUGUAAUUGAUCCUGCAUCUCUUUUUGCAUUUGUUCCAAUCUCUCUAACCUUUGAUCCAUUGCUCUUGUUUUUCCUCUUGUACCGUAACGAUGUUCCAGGGUAACUGCCAUGAUUUUUAGGGUUUUUUGUGAGUUUUAGUGCGUAUGAUGCAAUGCUGAUGCAUGAAUGCAAUGAAUGCGAUGAAUGCAAAAAAGCGUUGAUUCCAAUUCGAUUUCAUUAGAAUAACUUUUCUAGAAAACAAGUUUCUUUACAUAAAAUAGAUUACAUAUAAGACUUGGCCCUGAUACUUAAGGCCUUAACCUGCCUAAGAAGCCAAGCUAGCUCUCGGCCUCGGUCCGAUUCCUCGACUCGUAUUUUAAACUUAGCAUAUCGGCUUGUACUGCUAAUGUUUGCAAGUGAUCAGCCACUUCUCGCACUUGAGUCAAAGCUUUGCCCAUGACGUAGUCCCUGCUCUUGACUUGGUCUUGAGAUUGAUGAAGUUCCUCAUUCCAUAUCUCGUUAUUUACCUCGAGGAGUUCUAUCUGAAGUUCACGAUUUUGCAGCGCUGUUUUGAGUUCUUCUAUAUUCUCUUUUAAUUCUUCGAUUUUAUUCUAACUAGCUUUCAACUCAACUACGGAGUUAUGCGAGCGACACUGAUACAAGGACCUCUCUAACUCUGAUACCCGAAUCUUUAACCCUUCAUUCUCAUUCUGGCUUUCUACCAAACUUCUUUUCAGAACACCUUCUCGAGCUUGAGCAUCCCGAAAUUUUUCUUCCCAUUGGUUGGCUUUGCUUUAUUCUUCUUUAACUUUCUGUCACCACUGUUCCAAUGUUUUUCCUAACCCAGCAGUUCUCAUUGAUCUACGCAGCUUCUUAUAGUCCGUUUUCAAACUGUCCAAGUCCUCUUUAGCCUUGUUUUUCCCUUUUCUGAGUCUUUCAGCUUCUAGUUUCUGGACAUCGACAUCUAACCCUAACUGCAUCUUUUCUUCUUCCAAUUGCUCGAUCCUUUUUUUUAGCUCCAGACUCUUUCUCUCGAAAUCUUGCCUGAUGAUUUCUAGCUCAGAUGGGAUUACUUUCAAGUGUUCUUCUAUCGACUGAGGAUUCUCUUGAUCUAAUGUAGGGAUAUUGUCGUUAAUCCUCUGAUUCCACCAUCGGUCAUACUUAGGAGUAGUCAUGGGAUUGGUAGUAAACUUUUUCAUUCUACGAGUCUGGUUUCAGGCAUUUGAUAUCUCGCGAACUUUCUUUUUGUAAUUAUUCCCUGUGAACACGAACUCGCACUAGGCUAACCCGUAUGUUGGUGGUGUAAACUGUCUGGAUCUGUACUGUCUUAAUGCAAGCAGAGGAGCAUAUCCGAUGGCUCCCAUACUCCUAACAAGGGAACCUAAUUGAAAUCUCCGCAUCGGUAUAAUAUUUCAUCAGGAACCAUCCACGGGGCUCUCCAUUCAACGUCUUCUUCUUACAAAUUUUGGAAAACCGUCAUCCAAUUUUCUUUUGUAACAUCAUCUCACCUCGGUGUAGCCACUAAUUCUUUCAGUGGAGAGUAAUUUUCGGAGAAGAUACGAUACGAGACCUUUUCCACUUUCCAAAAAUGGUUGUGGAACCAAGAUAGCAAGAGCUGUGCACAUCCAAUAAAUCUCCCUUCACCCGCUCUUCUACAAGCAUUCAAUAAUCUGAAAGUUUCAGCCAAGAUUGCGGGUACAGGUGUGGUUCCUUUACCAAGCCUAUCAAAAAGGUCGGAAACAGCCUCGUGUACAUGCCCCAAAGCUUUGAGGAAGAUGACCAGUCCAUAAAUGCUCAGGGCAAAUACAUCUACCCUUUUCUUCACGUCGGAGUGCACUAAGAUUAGAUCCCUCAGGUUCCUCCAAGGAAUGCAUUUACAAUCUCCUUUUUGUUUGAUCCGGGUUGUCGCCCACUGUUCGCUCAUCCCUGUGAUGUUCAUCAGCUUUUUUGAAAAUGCUGGGACGUUAGCAGGUUUGGAAUAAAUUCUGUCAACCUGAAUCUUUGGGCAAUGGAGCAAGGUCGUGUAUUCUUCUAUAGUAGGUACCAAAUCUACUUUCCCGAAAGUGAAGCAACUGUAAGCAGAAUUCUAAUCUUGGGCAAGGGCUCGAAACAGGUGUUCAUCUACCUUGACAUCGAGCAGAUAAGGUAAAUCACCGUAAUGACAAUAGAAUAGCUGUUUGACCUCGUCAUCCCACUGACCCCAAAUUUCUUUCAUCUCUUGGAGAUUAUUCUGAGUUACGCUGAUCCGAGUAAGUUCCAUAACUCUAAAACGUACCCCUUGGUAAGACUGUCACCUUUCUCUUGUUAUGUUGUCUCAGCCCUUAUCCGGACAGCCGCGUUGUCUUCUACUUUAUCAAAAAACCUCUUUUCCAUGAUAAGCUAUCUAUUUAGGAACCGAAUGCGAAUCAACACCUUUUGUGAUGAAAAUGCCAUGCAAAUACAAUCAAAGUAAAACAAAGCAAGUCAAUAUUUCAUACGCAGUUUAAAGCAAACAAAGAAUAAUAAAUAUAACACUUGCUUAGGUAACCACUAGGGUUUCAGAGUGGCUCUACCUAGGGUGGGUUCUUAAGGCUCGCUACAUGGGGUUUGGUUUUAGAGUAAAGGUACCUGAACCAGCAGAUUCCUCGAUCUUCACCCAUUUUAGGCUCAUACAGACCGAGUUCAGUUCAGGGGAGUACAUUUCCCUAUGGCUACACGGAGAUGAAAUCUCACGAAGACAUAGGUACGGAUGUAUCCCGAAAGCAAUCCACUAUCCUGCACGGAGGUGAAAACCUCACGAAGGAGUAGUUUCUCACUCUCACUUAAAGGGGUGUGACCACAGCGGUCAUGCAAUGCAAUAUGAAAAACUAUUUUAAAGACUCGAACCAACGCAGCAGGUAUUAUAUCAUAUACCACAAAAAUAGCUGAUGAAAUGCAAUGAAAGGAUCGUAUUUCAAAACCAAAUUUUCAAUUUUCGAUAAAAAGACAAGAGUUAAUCAACUUGUGGCUUGACUCUCUUAUUUGGUUCCCUAAUGGAGUCACCAAGCUGUCGUAACCAUUUUUUUGGAAAACGGGAAUCGACUUGGAUUUUGAAAAUGGAAACAAAGAACUGGAGUCGCCAUCAAUAUUUUUUGAUGAGGUGUGAUCGGGUCACCUUAAAUUAAUCAUUUUAAUAAAAGUUAAGAUUUACUAAAACGAUAAUUUUUGGUCUACAAAAAUCAGAAAAUGAGUUCAGGAGUCGGUUACGCACGAGGAAGGAUUAGCACCCUCGUAACGCCCAAAAUUGGUACCUAGUUGAUUAAUUAGUGUCUUUGUUGUCAAAAAUUUGAAAACUUGAAAGACUUUGAAAUGCGAUCCCUUUUUUGCCAAAAAAAAGCCCAAAUGUUAAAGACCUUCUUGUCUCGAAGUAAUAAAACACCAUGUCCAAUAAGUUAGGACACGGCAUCUCGAACUUUGAGAACAAGCUUGCCUUUUAGUUAAAAUUAAUGUGUUUUAAAGGAUAUUUGGUUAGUUAGGGUGAACGAGGAAAAUCGAAACCCAGUGAGUUAGGGUACGUUUCCUCGAAUUUUCGAACACCAAAUAUUGCCUUUACUUGCGAAAAAUCUUAUUUCGAAGUAACAAAAUGUCAUACCCGAUAAGUUAGGGCACCACACCUCACAUCCCCGAAAAUAAGCAUUUUUAAAAUUCGUAUUGUGGUUUAAAAUAAUAUUCCGUGAUUUAGGUUAAAAGAGAAAUAUCGAAACCCAGUAAGUUAGGGCACGAUUGUCUCGAAUUACCAAAUACGGAGUAUUUACUUUUAUGAUAGAAUUAUUUUGGGUUAAGGCAUCGAGUGAAAAACAUAAUGUGAUUUAUAGUAAAACAUGAAAGCAAAUUAUGGUGCUAAUACAUAAUAAUAAGCACGUUAGUGUCUAACACAAUAAUACGAGCAAUUAUGAAAGGUGAAAUAAUAGCAAGGUUAGUAAACAAACGCAUGAGGAAAAUGAGAUGAUCGAAUACAUAGGCCAAUAAAUAAACAAAAUAAAUAAAUAAAACAUGGCAAAAUAAAAUGACAGUGAUAACGAAAACGAUAAUCAUAGGAAUAACAUAAGUAAUAAUAGUAAGAAUGUAAAUAUGAAACGGUAAGGAACAUACAUAUAUGUAAAAUGUAUAAUACAAGAUUAAAAAAUAUAUAUACGAUAUUUGUUGAAAACAGUAAUAAUAUAUAAAAAUGAUACGAUAUAUAAAUGUAUACAUGUAUGUAUUAAAAUAUACGUAAUAAUAGAAAUAAAAAUAUAUAUGUAGUAUUAAAAAUAUAUAUACAUAAUAUAUAUAUAAAGAUAUAAUUUUAAAAUGUAUAUACAUGAUAUAUAUGAAAAUAUAUACAUAAUAUAGUUAUUAUUAAAAAAUAUAUAUAUACAACAUGUUUGGUAUUAAAAAUAGUAUUAAAACAUAAUACAUACAUAUAAGAUCGCCUAAAAAAAUGCUAAUGCUAAUAAUAAAAAAAAUAAAAUGCUAAUAAAUAAUAGAGAUAGUAUAAUAAUGGAAAUAUAAAUAGAUAAGAAACAUAAUAGAUGAAUAAUAAGGAAAUGAAAACAAUAAUAAUCAAAAUACAAUGGUAAUAGUAAUUACAAAGAUGAUGAUGAUAAUAAUAACAUUAAAGUAAAGUAAACAAUAAUACUAUAUAUAAAUAUAUAUGUAUAUACGUAUAUAGUAAAAAUACACAUAAUAAUAAUAAUAAUAAUAAUAUAGAAAUGCAAAAAGCAAAUAUAAUAAAAAUAUUAAAUUAAAGUAAUAAAAAAAUAAUACCAUGUGUAGGUGUAUAUAUAUAUGAAUAUAUACACUAAUAUAUAAUAAUAGUAAUAAUAAUAAAGUAAUAAAAAUAUAAUUAUAAUAGUAAAAUAUAACAAAUAGUAGUAAAAGAAAAUAAUAAAAUUAUCUAACUCAAUAAUAGAGGAGCUAAAUAACUAAAGUAGGGACUAAAUUGAGUGUAGAACGAAAGUUCAAGGCCAAUUUAAAAUAAAAAUAAAAAGAGAAGGCUAAAUAAAACACGCGAGAUAAAUGGAGGGACCAAUUCCGCUAUUAUACCCUAUCCCUAAAAUGAUGUCGUUCCAUCAACUAUCCCUCAAAUGGUUAGAGGAUCAAAUUAAGAAAGAUUAAAAUUACAAGGCAGAAUUAAGGAAUAAAAAAAACUAGAUUAAAACAUGAUAGAAAUGCGGAAGGACCGCGCAAGUAAUUAUCCUAGUAGCAGCAAAACACGCUGAUCCUCAGGCAUCGGGUCCGGUUGCGCACGGGUCACGUGAAACGGCUUUGUUUUGGCUCUGUGAGUUAAGGCCCAAAACGGCACCGUAUUAUGCCAUUAUAUAAACCCUAAAAUUUUUAAAAAACAUGCAUUCUUUUGCUGUUUCAGAAAAAAAAAUGGGAAGAGUUCUUCCCUUCUUCUGGGAAAGCCCCAGAUUCCGGCCAAGAGGGCCACCAUGCACUCCCGCAGUCGCCGAUCCGCCACCAUCGCCGGCCACCGCGUGCGGUAUAUUUUUUCUUCUUUUUUUUUAUUUUCUAUUAUUAUUUUUUUGUUUACAAUAUAUGUAUAUAUAUGCGAAUAAAAGGGCGUGAAAAUAGAAAAGAAAGAAAAAUGAAAUAAAUCGAAAGAAAAUGAAAUCACCUUUGUUUUUCUGAUUUUUGAUUCUAUGUUUUCGUUUCUUCUUUUAAUGUUUUUCUCUUGAUUUGAUAUUUUGUGCCUUUGACUCACUGAUUUUGUGUUUUAAAAUCAAAUGCUUCUUUUUAUUUCUCACCAAAAAACCGAAUCCUUUUUACAAUUUCGUUUUGGUUUAUAUAUUUGUGCACACUGCUCCUUUUUGCUUUCUUUCUUCUCUCGUUUAAUGCUUGCAGGUGAAUGACGGUGGACUUGACCUGUCGGUGGGAGCAGAGGCGGUGGUGGAUGGGACAGGGAGCAAGUGGCUGAAGCAGCUUAGGGUUUUCUUAGCUUUUUUCUUUUGUUUUGUGUUUGGGUUGGGCUAGGGUUUUGAUUUGUUUGGGCUAAGAAUUUUGGUUUAAGUUGGGUAUUGGGUUUGGGUAGGUGUAAUUGGGUAGGGCAAAUUGGGCUUGUGAGGUUAUAUUGGGCCCGGGCAAGGAUUGGGUUGUACAGCUGCCCCUUUUUGCUCGUUGUCGUGUAACGAGAACAGAUCAAAGACUUUCGAAAGACCAAUCUUGUUCGAUCUCGAGUCUCCACUUCUUUGGUGCUCUUAUUCUUCAGGUAGCUUCAUUCCCAUCUAGUGCGGCUCGUCGCUUUACUCCACUCAAUUGCAACUUCAGAGAAAUAAUAUUUGCUAUCUUCAGUCUGUUCCACUGCAACUUCAGAGAGAUAGGAUCUAUAAUUUAGCUUCAAUCUGUUCCACUGCAACUUCAGGGAAAUAAGAUUUGCUAUUUUCAGCCUACUCCACUACAAUCUUCAGGGAGAUAAGACUUGUGACUUCAAUCUUCUCCGCUAAAACUUCAAGGAGAUCUAUUGUGGCUUUGAGCCGCUCCAACGCAAUUUCAGGGAUAAAAGAUUUGUAAUUUUCAGCUUGUUACCCUACUGCAUAGGGGUUUAAGGCCCAUCACUUCUGCUAUGUUUCCCUACUGCUUAGGGGGUUAAGAUUCGUCAAUCUUCAGCCAGUUACCCUACUUUUUAGGGGUUUAAGGCUUGUCACCUUUGAUCUAUUUCCCUACUGCUUAGGGGGUUAAGAUCUGUGAAUUCAACCUGUUACCCUACUGUUUAGGGGGGUAAGGUUUGUCAAUCUUCGAUCUGCUCCACUACUGCUUAGGGUGAUAAGAUCUGUAAUUUGGUCUGUUACCCUACUGCUUAGGGGUUUAAGACCCUUCGUCUUCGAUCUGCUCCACUACUGCUUAGGGAGAUAAGAUCUGCAAUUUAGCUUGUUACCUUACUGCUUAGGGGUUUAAGACCCUUCGUCUUUGAUCUGUUUCUCUACUGCAUAGGGGGUUAAGAUCUGUAAUUUGGCUGUUACCCUACUGCUUAGGGAGAUAAGGCUCGUGGAUUCACCUAUUCCACUGCACCGUCCUCUUAGGAACAUGAUCUGUAAAAUCAGUUUCAUGCAUCUAUGUUUAUGCCAAAUAAUUAGGAAGCUAUGAUCAAACGCUCCUAACUAGAUGUGUUAUGAAUAUGUCGAAUAAAUGCAUGAGUGAGAAUGGAUCCCUUUUUAAUGCUUAGGUUGUCAUGGCUCUUUGUUCAUCAAGGUUUUUUCACUGAAACGGUACUUUGUCUUCUUGUUCAGCUUAGUUUUUUGAACUGAAAACCCGGAGAGGUAGUCCCGAUUUAAACUCUUUCUUCUCAAAUGCUCCCAAUCUUUAAGUUUGGUUAGUUCUAAAUAAUAGCCCUGUUUUAGGUUCCUGUACUAUUUAGAGACUUUCAGUGUAAUAUGCAGAACUCAUUUUGCAAAAAUGACUUUAGUCCAUUAAUCAUCAUUUCAAUGCAAAAUGCUUGAAAAAGAUCACAACAAUAACAGGAAUGAAAUUUGUCAGAAACAAAACUUGAGGGGAACAAAUAUUGCUGGAAUACAAAAUGGAUGGAAAGAAAAUAGGUGCCCCAGAUAUCGCAGCAUGAGCUUCUAUGUACGAACUUCUUGAGGAUUCCCUUUUUGCUUGAUGUGUAUUUAGGAGAUUUAGAGUAUCCUUGUAGAUGCCCCAAGAUGUAACGUCUCUCCUCCUUGUUAAUUUAGGUAUCGUAUGCCCCACCUUUGAUCAAUAUUUGAAUCGCCCUUUUAUGGGUUUUCAAUUCAAAAUCCCUUUGGUCUCAAGGUGCCCUUUGCGAGUUUUCACCUUGGCCUCUCCCUUUUUUUUUAGGUGAAGUAUUUCUUAACCGAAUCCGAAUUCACGGGAUUGGGUAAAGUCUUACCAUCCAUUUCAGCCAAUAUCAAUACUCCUCCAGAAAAUGCCUUCUUUACCACUUAAGGUCCUUCCCAAUUAGGCAUCCAUUUUCUUUUGAAAUCCUUUUGUAUGUGUAGGAUCUUUUUCAAUACUAGGUCUCCUUCAUGGAAUUCUCUAGGACGAACCUUUUUAUUGUAAGCUCGCAUCAUUCGCUUUUGGUACAGCUGACCAUGGUGAAUAGCCCUUAGCCUCUUUUCUUCAAUCAAAUUCAAUUAAUCGUAUCGGGACUGGAUCCAUUUUGCUUCGUCCAACUUUACUUCUGACAAAACUAUGAGGGAAGGAAUCUCGACCUCGAUAGGUAAAACCGCCUCCAUUCCAUAGACCAAUGAGAAAGGCGUUGCCCCGGUAGAAGUCCUGAUAGACAUUCGAUAAGCAUAGAGGGCGAAUGGUAGCUUCUCAUGCCAAUCUUUAUAAGUUUCUGUCAUGUUUCCCACAAUCUUCUUGAUGUUCUUAUUGGCUGCUUCGACUGCACCGUUCAUCUUUGGGCGAUACGGUGACGAGUUGUGAUAUCUGAUCUUGAACUGACUGCAGACAUCUGCUAUUGUGCUGUUGCUCAAAUUCAAUGUAUUGUUAGAUAUGAUCCUUUCCGGCAUUCCAUAUCGACAGAUGAUUUCAUUUUUCAGGAACUUGCUAACUGCUGAUUUAGUUACAUUGGCAUAUGAAGCGGCCUCCACCCAUUUGGUGAAAUAAUCGAUGACCACAAAGAUGAAACGAUGCCCAUUUAAAGCUUUUGGCGAAAUUGGCCCAAUCACAUCCAUGCCCCACAUCGAGAAAGGCCAUGGCGAAGUCAUGACAUGCAGAGGUGAGAGAGGUACAUUAAUCUUGUCUCCAUAGAUUUGGCACUUAUGACAUCUUUUAGCGUAGUUAAUACAGUCUCCUUCCAUGGUGGACCAAUAAUAACCGAACCUCAUAAUUUGCCUCACCGUUGUAAAACCAUUAGCGUGUGUCCCACAGAGCCCUCAUGGACUUCUUCCAAGAUUUUCUUAGCCUCAAUAGCAUCUACACAUCUCAACAGUACCUGAUCCUUCCUUGUUUUGUACAGGAUCUCCCCGUCUAAGACAUAAUCACUGGCCAGUCUUCUCAACGUCCUUUUGUCAUUCUCAUUAGCUUGGUCGGGGUACUCACGAUUCUUCACAUAUCGCAGGAUAUCGUGGUACCAAGGGUGAUUAUCAUUUUCUUCUUCUUCUUUGAGGUUGUAGCAAUGAGCCGGAGCUUCAUAAAUGCUCAUUUGGAUUGGUUUCACAUCCUCUUGCUUGUUCACCUUGAUCAUAGAGGCUAAAGUUGCUAGGGCGUCAGCCAUCUGAUUUUCUUCUCGCGGGAGGUAGCAGAAGACAAUAUCAUCAAACUCUUUAAUUAAUUCAAGGAUCAGCCUUCGGUAAUUGAUCAAUUUGGGGUCUCUUGUCCCCCAUUCACCUUUGAGUUGAUAAAUCACUAGGGCAGAAUCUCUGUAUACUUCUAGCACCUUGAUUUUGUGCCCUAUGGCUGCGCGAAUUCCCAUGAUGCAUGCUUCGUACUCUGCCAUAUUGUUCGUGCAGUCAAAAUCCAAUUUACUAGUGAAUGGAUAAUGAUCUCCGUUUGGGGAUACCAGGACUGCCCCGAUUCUGUUACCCACAGCAUUUGAUGCUCCGUCAAAGUUUAGCUUCCAAGGAUGACCUUCUUGAGGGUCUUCUUCAGUGGUUGCUAUAUACAAUAGAUCUUCGUUUGGGAAGUUAAAGUUCAGAGGCUCGUAGUCCUCCAGGGCUUUGCUGGCUUGGAAAUCUGCUAUCGCACUCCCUUUUACGGCCUUCUGGUUCACAUAGACUAUAUCAAAUUCAGAAAGUAGAAUUUUCCAUUGGGCCAUUCUCCUGUUCAAAGCAUUUGACUCCAUCAAGAACUUCAGAGGAUCUAUUUUAGAGAUCAGCCAAGUUGUGUGGUACAACAUGUAUUGUCUCAGUCUUCGGGUUGUCCAGAUUAAGGCAUAACACAACUUUUCAAUGAACGAGUAUCUCGUCUCACACUCAGUAAACUUUUGAAUGAGGUAAUAUAUCGCUCUUUCUUUCCUUCCCGAUUCAUCGUGUUAGCCAAACACGCAACCCAUAGAAUUUUCAAAUACCGUCAAAUACAGUAUCAGUGGGUUAUCUGGACUAGGUGGUGUCAACACUGGGGCAUUAGACAAAUAUUGCUUAACUAUGUCGAAAGUCUUCUGGCAUCCCUCGUCCCAAACACCAGGGUUGUAUUUCUUAAGGAGACGGAAUAUGGGGUCACAUUUCUCGGUUAGUUGUGAAAUAAACCGAGCGAUGUAAUUUAAUCUUCCUAGAAAUCCCCGAACUUCCUUCUAAGUACGUGGUGGAGGUAACUCUUGCAUGGCUUUGACUUUAUUUGGGUCAAUCUCAAUCCCUUUUUCACUGACCAUGAAUCCUAGCAGUUUUCCUGACCUGGCCCCGAAGGUACAUUUUGCUUGAUUGAGUUUCAACUGGAAUUUCCUAAACCUCAAAAAUAAUUUCCUCAAGACUUGCACAUGCUCUUCUUCAGUCUGAGAUUUGGCGAUCAUGUCAUCGACGUAGACUUCAAUUUCUUUAUGCAUCAUAUCAUGGAAUAGGGUUACCAUGGCUCUCUGAUAUGUUGCUCUCGCAUUUUUCAAUCCGAACGACAUCACCUUAUAGAAAAAGGUUCCCCACAUGGUCACAAAUGUGGUUUUAUUCAUGUCUUCAGGAUGCAUCUUGAUCUGAUUGUACCCUAAAAAAGCAUCCAUGAAGGAGAAGAGUGAGCAACCUGCCGUGUUAUCCACUAAGGUGUCAAUAUGAGGCAACGGCAAAUUAUUCUUCGGGCUGGCUUUGUUUAAGUCUCUGUAGUCUACACACAUCCAUACUUUUCCAUCUUUUUUAGGGACGGGGACGAUGUUGGCUACCCAUUCCAAGUACUUAAAUACUUGUAAGAAACCAGCAUCAAAUUACUUCUUAGCCUUCUCUUUUAUUUUCAACAAAAUUAUCGGGCUGCAUCCUUCAAAGCUUUUGCUGAACUGGCUUGCAUUCUUCUUUGAUAGGGAGCCUGUGUACCACAAUGUCAGUACUUAGCCCAGGCAUAUCUUGAUAUGACCAUGCAAAGACAUCCUUGAACUCUUGGAGUAACUCAAUAAGGUCCCGCUUUUUCUCUGUGGUAAUGCAUGCUCCGAUCUUUACUUCUCUCUUUCCUAGUUCAUCUCCCAAGUUCACGACUUCUACGGUCUUUUUGUGGGGUAGAAUCUGUUUCUCCUCGUGUUCUAUUAUCCUUAACAAAUCAGGGGAUAAAUUACAGUCUCCGUCAUCUUCAAAGUCCUGAGAUCCUUCUAGACACAUAUCCCGCUCAAAAGGAGACUCUGAAUUAGUAGCAAUGUCACUCACAUCAUUGAUAUCUGGAGACCUGUUAUAGGUGCGAAGGAAGAUACAAAGAACAAGAGAAUCUAAGAAAAAUGAUAUGUAUGGUAUGAUCAUGAAUGAAAGAAUAAAAGAAUAUUUGCACGGAAUAAGUCAAAAGGAUGCAUUUCAUUGAAAUAACGAUUUCGAACAUAAGCCUAUUUCACAAAAGGACACUUAUUACUCCUAGGUCUAGAGCAAUAAGUGUGUUUUGGACAUUACUCUGAGUUAGUUCUAAAGACUAUAGGAAUCUCUUCCACAGUCCAAUUAUUCAGAACACUUCUCGGCUCAUAGGGGCGAAUGCCCGACAAAUUCUCUACCCCAGUUCCUUCUUCAUAUGUGGCGUUGAUGUCCAAACUCUCCAUCAUUCUUUCCACGAUUUCUUUUCCCGACGUCUUCCGCUCGGAGUGAAUGACCCCUCCAAACAUAAAAGUCUUCGAUAUAUGGGGGAAGAUCAUUGGUUCCCAUUCGAUUCCUCCUCCGCUGAAUCGCGCUCUCCUUCUUUCUUGCUUCUUUUCUAGCUCUUUCUUUCUUUGUUUCGUGUCUGGCUUAAAUCCUAACCCAAAACAGUCUUGUUUGUCCUUCAACAUUGGUGCAUUAAUCCUUCCCUGGACGUAUCUCCCGAGUCCUUUUCCUGGUAGGGCCCUUUUUCCAACAGUUAGUCGUAGUCCCAUUCUUGUAGUCUCAGGUAACCUGGGCAUUGGAAUCCUAUUUCCUUCGGUAAUGAAUGUCGCGUUCACGAACUCCAAAGAUCGAAAAGAGCACUCGAUUGCUUCGUUAUUUGCCUCUAGAUAUGGGGCGUCACUGGUUAUUGCUGCGAGGAUAUCUUCUUCAGCAUUCAUCGUUACUAACCGACCUUCGGUUACCAAUUUCAACUUCUAGUGCAGCGAUGAAGGGACUGCCCCUGCUGAGUGUAUCCAUGGCCUCCCCAAUAGGACAUUAUACGAAGGCUUAAUGUCCAUGACCAGGAAAUCUAUCUCGUAUGUGCUCAGCCCGAUUAAGAGGGGUAUUUCAAUUCUCCCCAUUACCUUCCUUUCCGUGCCAUCAAAUGCUCUCACUACACUUUGGCAUGUCUUCAUAUGGGAACUAUCCACUGGCAACCUACUCAGCGUAAAUAGGGGUAGGACAUUUAGUGCAGACCCAUUGUCAAUCAAUACCCCCGGUAAUGUGUGCCAUUUACAACGAGUCGUGACGUACAAAGCUUUAGUUGAUCCUCGACCCCCUGGCGGUACCUCAUCGUCAUUGAAGAAUAUGAAAUUGUCGGCACUUAUAUUGUUGACUAAGUGGUCUAGUUUGUUUACAGAGAUAUGGUUAGCAACAUAAGUUUCAUUCAGCACCUUCAUUAAUGCGCUGCGAUGGGUUUCAGAGCUGAAGAGUAAGGCCAGUACCGAUAUACGAGCUGGCUGUUUGUGCAACUGUUCUACGACACUAUAUUCGCUGUGCUUUAGGAAUUUUAAGAAUUCCUUUGAUUCUUUUUCAGUCAUUGAUUCAUUAACAGUUGGUUCAGGCCUCGCCGGCUUCUCUUUCUUUUGCUCAAUUGCUAAUGAUUUUUCUUUAACUUGCUCGACUUUUGUAUUUGGGGCAUAACGCCUUCCGCUGUACGUAUAAAAACACUCGUCUUGAACUUCCUCUGAUGCAUUAAUCGGGGUCUCCUCUCCCGGGAAUGUCACAUUGCAGCUAUAGUUCCACGGUACCCUUUUCCUAUCUUUAUAAGGGAAAGCAACGGGUUUUUAGAUCACAACCCUUGGCGCAACUUGUGCCCAGCUUCAUUCAUUCUCGGACGUGAUAUGAUAACUACUGGGCGGUUGACUUUGUAAACAUCCUUCAUCGAUCCCUCUUCGGAGGCACACACAUCUGUUUCUUUUGGGCUCCCGACAUAUUCGAAGAAUUCCAGCUCCUUAUCAUCCAUCAAUCAUUGUAACAAAGCCCUGAAUUCCCUGCAUUUUUGAAUCUCAUGAUCCUCUUGAUCAUGGAACUCGCAAUAAUUCUUUGCAUCUCGGGGUCUGACCCUUGAAUUCUGUGUUAUCAACCCUCUUUCCACCAUUUCCGCCAAAAAUGCCUUACAUUUAGAUUGAGACUUUCAUUUCUUGGAUGAUUCCACAGUUAUAGGUGUUGCAGUAGUGUCAUCAUCAAUUGAUCUAGAUUCUAACACCACUAAGUUAUGACUUAUGUGACUUGGGCAUAUGAGCAAGAAAGGCUUAUCAGUCUUAAGCAAACGAGGUUUGUUGUUUGACCAGUGUACGACGAAUGCAACACCUUAUACUCAACCCAGUUGUUGGACCUGAAAAUAAAAUGUCACAUUUCGUUGUCGAGGCAGCUCACUUUUUCUUUUUCUUUUUUUUUUAAAAGGAAACAUAGUGGUAAAAUUAAAUUAUAAAAAUUUCGGCAGCAUUUCUGUCUUUUUUACGAAAAACUCCUACAAAAAAUUUAGAUUUCACAAGGUAAUCACAUUCAAUUCAUCUCCCAAAUCAAUUGCCCACACUUCAAUCCCUCAAAUCAUACUAAUAAACUAGAUUUCUACAGUUUACUAUUUCAUCCAAAACAUUAGUUAUAAAAUACUAGCAAAGAAAACAUAAUGAAAAUAUUCAAAUUCAACUUAUGACAUAAUAUUAUAUAAAUACAAGCCUAGGUACAUGCCAUUUACAUCAAAUAUAAAGUAAACUCUUCACUAACAUUGUUUGAGCUGAACUUUGGUUAUUCGUGUAACAACCCAGUUUUAGCUAAAUAGAAACAGUAGUUUUGGGACCACAAAUAUAAUGUCAAAAAAUUAUUUUAAUAUUAUUUUUGGUGUUUAUAGCAUUUUAAUAUGUAUGUGUGAAAAUUUCGUGAACUAAUUUUAGCAUUUGAGUGCUUAAUUUGAUGAAAGGACUAAAUCGCGUAAAAUGCAAAAAUAGUAUGCUAUAAGUUAAGAGCGUCUAUUUGUUAUGGUUUAUUAAACCAAAUUUCUUUAUGAUGUUAUUAUGCCAUUGAUAAGGUUAAUGGACAUUUAUGGACAUGCAUUAUAAAUUUUUAAGUUUAUUUAUUAAGGGUAAAUAGGUAAAUGACAAAUUAAGUUAAUAAAAUCAUAACCAAACAUGAUUUUUGUCCAUCUUUCAUGCCUUAGCCAAAUUUUGAAGGUGAAAAAAACCAUUUUAUCCUCAUCUAGGGUUCGGUCCUUUGAAUCUUUGAUUAAUGUAUGUCUUUUGCUCGGUUUUUGAUGAUUUUUACAUUUUUAAGAUUAUUGCUUUGUAUUCUAGCUAGCCCGUGCCCUAAUUUUUGAAUUUUUUGAUGAUUAUGUGAAGUACCAUUGUUGAAUAUAUAUGAUUUGUGAUGGUUUUUGAUGAAAAAUGGAAGAUAAAUGUUAGAUUAAUAUGUUUUGUUAAGUGAUUUUUGAUGAAAAAGCCUAAAUAGGAUUAAAUUGUGAAAAUUGCAAAUUGAGGGGUUGAAAUGUGAAAUAAAUAAAAAAUAUGGGUUGUUAGGGGAAUUAUGGUAAUUCAGCCAAGCAUGGGUCUUGUUGAAUUGUGUGAAUUUUGUAUAAUUGUGAAAUAGGGACUAAAUUGUGAAAAUGUUAAACUUUAGGGGCUAAAGUGUAAAAAUGUCCAAAUAUGUGUUUGUGGACUAAAUUGAGUGAUUUGAUGAAUAAAUGAGUUAAUUUUGAAUGUAUAUAGAUUAAGAACUCAAUAAAUCAGAUUUAGAUCGGGAAAAAUCAAAGGUUAUCGAAUAGUAGUUCCAGUUCCUCUAUUUCGACUAUGAGGUAAGUUCAUAUGAAAAUAAAUGUCUUUAAAUUGAUUUAUAAAUGUUUACUCGUCAUUGAAUUUCUAUGAAUGUUGAAUGAGAAAAUAUGAGUAAGAAUCAACGAAGUUAUGAUAUCCGAAAGUCCCGUACGAACCUUAGAAAUAUUAUAGGAUACGAAUGUCAUGACAUUAGGAUUACCGAGAUGUGAUUACAUGUAAGACCAUGUUUGGGAUAUUGGCAUUGUAUUGUGAUUGCGUGUAAGACCAUGUCUGAGACAUUGGCAUCGAUAUGUAAUAACAUGUAAGACUAUAUCUGGGAUAUGACAUUGUACGAGCUAUAUAUGAUUUUCAAGUAUCUUUAACGAUUCCGAAGGGUUCAACAGGCAAAGUCAAGUUGAGAAAGAAUGUGUGAAUGAGCUAAGUGACUCAGAUACAUAUGAGAUUCAUACGAGUAUUGAAAAGGGAAGUAUUUGAUGAAUUCACUUAUGAAAUUGAAUAUUUAUACAUUUGGGAAGGUUUGUAAGCUUAUAUGUGCUUAUUCAUAAUUUGAUUAUUUGAUGGAAAUGAUGUUGAUUCAUGAGAUGGUUUUAUUUGUAUAUGGCUUACUAUGCUUUUUAAGGUUACUUUGUGUGUUCUUUCCUUGUUUUAUAGAUUAUUGAUGCUAGCUCGGAUAUCGGGGAUCAUCAGGAACCGUCAUCACACUAUCGACUACUUGUUGGUACUUUUGGAUGCUUUUAAAUAUGGUAUAUGACAUUUAUAGGCUAGUGUUAUGAUGAUAUGUUUUGAAUUAUGAUAUAGCCAUGAGAUUUGGCUUGUAUAUGAUGUAAAUGUGGGUGUGUAUUUGGCUAUUUGAUUUGGCUAGACUUAUGAAUUUGGUAAGUGAUAUAUGAUGUAUAUAUAUUGCUUUGUGUUUUGGCAUGUUUGGUAUGGUUGUUGUGAUGGUUAUAUGGUUGCUCAAUUAGUAAAUUAUCAAUGAUGUAUCAUGGUUGAGAAAUGGCAUGUUGUGAAUUGGUUUUAAGAUGAUGAAUUGAUAUGUUUUGAGACAUGAAACAGUUAAUAAGAUCGUGAGAAAAUGCAUAUAAAAGUUAAGGUUAUGACAUAUUGUUUUGGCAUGAUUUUGGUUGUGGAUUUGAGUAGUGAAAUGGAUGUAUUUUAAAUGACAUGAAAUGUGCAUGAAAUGGUCAUUUUUGGUUGCCUAUUGUAUGUAAAAAUAAUGCCAAAUUAAUGCUUUUAGGUACAUGAAUGAUAGGUGGGAAUAAUGGCUUAAAUCAAGCCUAUUUUCAUGCCACACGUUUAAGCACACGGGCGUGUGACUUGACCUUGUAAACCCUUAAGCGUGAUUAAAUAAGUUAGUGAGUUACACAGCUUAGACACACGGGCGUGUCUACUGGCUGUGUGUGACACACAGGCUAGCACAUGGCCGUGUGGCUGGUCGUGUAACCCAAUUUAGUAUACCCUCUAGUUUUCCCACGGCCAUGGCACAUGGGCGUAUCUCCGGCCAUGUGGUACAAGUCAGUAUGUAUGCCUUGUUUUCAUAUGGCUUGUGACACGUGCGUAUCUGGUGGCUGUGUGAGGCAUACGGCCUGAUCACACGAGCGUCUAAACCCUGUAUGCAUGAAAAUUUUCUAAGUUUUCCAAAGUUUUCAAAUGUUAUUUGUUUAGUCUCGAACCUCUUUCAAGCAUGUUUUAGGGUCUUGUAGAGCAUUAUAGGGGACAAUAUGAUUAUGUUUGAUAAAUACUUAUGUGAUAAUGGAUUCAUGUAUGAGAAAUGUAUGUUGUAUGAUGUAAUUGAUCAGUAAUGCCUCGUAGCUCUAUUCCGGCGACAUAUACGGGUUAGGGGUGUUACAUUUAUUGGUAUCAGAGCUAUAGUUUAAUCAAUUCUGGGACUAACGUAACGUGUGAGAGUCUAGCUAUACAUGUCAUAUAUAUAAACUGUGAUAAUGUGAAAAUUCCUGUAACACCCCUAACCCGUAUCCGUCGCUAGAAUGGGGUUACGAGGCAUUACCGAAAAAGAUACAACUUUCUUACAUUCACACAAUUACUCAGAUCAAAUUCAAAGGUAUACCUUUGUAACUUCAGUUUAUCAAUUCUUGAAUCAUUAAUACACAAAGCAUAAAAAAAAUUUAUUAAACUCACAUAUAACCAUUUUGUUAUCUUAUAACAUGAAUUAUUAUUCAUAUGGUCAAUUUCCAAUACAAUAACUGAAUAUUAAUACAUAUUAAAUACGUAUACUUUAUUCAAUGUCAGCUUUCAUUUUUCUCUAUUACUAUACACGCAUAUAACAUUUCAUAUAACCAAACCGAUAUGUUAAUCAUGAUUUACUUUUCUCAUCAAACACAUCACAAGUUUGUAUUUAUACAUAUAACAAAACAUUCUCUUGUCUAAUGCUAUAAAGUGUCAAGGCCAAAUUUAAACAUGAUAAUAUCACUUAAUACACAAGCUAAAUAGCAUGUGUAACCAUCAUAUUAUCAAACAAUCUACGAACCAUUUCUAAGCAUAAUUAUCAAAUCUAAACAUACCAAAAUUUAUAUACCAACAUUACGACAAAAUUACAAAUACAUAAUCAAUUCAUUUGGUCACCUAUUCGGCUAUCAAAAAUUAACCAUUAAAGUCAUACCAAUUCCACCAUUCAAUCUUAAGUUAAAAUUUACCAUUUGCAUAUCCGAAUACAAAUAUUAACUUGUCACUUAGUGACUAUCCGUUUAACUAACAAAACAUACCUCAUACAUAUUCUUUAUUUACUAAUAAGUACCGAAUCAAAAUAACCAUAUUAUUUCUAUAAUUUGCCGUUAACUCUUUAUACAUAUAACAAGAAUCAAACAUUAAACUAAUCAUCUUGACUUUUAAAUAUCAAACCACAAACAAACAUGUUACAUGCACACAUAUUUAAUUUAUCUAUCAUUAGCCGAAUAUGAAUGCACAUCAUUUAUAACUAAUGAUUAAAAACUUAUAAUCAUUAUCCAUAUUUACUUCAUCACAUAACCAAAUACCAAUAAUUCAAAUCAUAACCAUUUACCUAAUACAUCCCACUUAUAUAUCAUACAUAUCACUCAACAAAAAUAUCCAACCACAGUUUCACGUCAUACUAAAUUUUCCAUACGCAUAUACUUUGGCAUAACUUCAUCACCAUUAGCAAAUAUAUCAACCAUGAUUCACAUAUAAACAUAUAAUGGACGAAACAUCAAAACCAUAACCAAAACUUAUCCAUCAACCAUAUUAACCUCACUUACGCCAAAUUUUAGAAUCAACCACCUCACAAAAUAUACCACAAAUCAUACAUCCAAAAUGAGUUACUUUCAUGGCUGAUUAUGAUUCAUCAUUAACACAUCUCAUUUACGAAUCAUAUAAUCAGCAUCACAAACAUAUCACCAAAACACAAAUCAUACAUAUCAUAUACUAUGCAUACCAAAAUAAACUCUAACCAUAUCAAAUAUAACCAAAAUCAGAUCAAACCUUGAAACUGAACCCAAUAAAAUAAACAAGCCAUUUUCGCAUGGCUUAAAUAUAUACAUUUACCAAAUCUAACAUUUCCAAAUAUUAUCUAGCCUAUACAUGCCAUAGGUUUGAAAUUUAGCUUAUAAAGUACCAAAAACAGCCGAUAGUGUGAUAGACUUUGCUGACGAUCCCCGAGCUCGUAACUUGAUUCCAAAAUCUAUAAACAGAGACAAACAUACACACACAGUGAGCUAUCAUAGCUUAGUAAGUCAUAAGAAAAUAAAUAACUCAAUUUAACCAAACCUAUACAUACUAUUAUAACCACAUUUAAUUUCAAACUUACAAUUUCAUAGACAACAUAAACUUUGAUUUAGCCGAAUAUACAUAUAUCCUAUACCAAAAUAUCAUUCAAUAUCAAAAACCAGAAUAUCAUUAUUUAACUGAAUAUACAUAAACUCAUAUACCUAUAAUCAUGAAUCAUUUCAUAAAUAUUUACAUUGUAUAUAUUCAUAAAGCCGAAUAUAUUCAUUCAUAUAUGUUUGCACAUAGAUCACAAUAAUGAUACUACUAUAAAUAACCUUUGGCUGAAUGUACUAUUCAUAUACACAUAUAUUUUCAUUUACAUCAUAUAUAAAUUGCAUUACUUAUUAAAUAACAAACUUACCUUAUUUUCAAAUAGGUAAUAACUAACUCAUACCUGAUCACUUUAGCUUAAUUAUACAUUCGAUCACAACUUAUCAUUGCCCGUUGAACCAUUCAAAAUUGAAUAGGAUACUCAGAUAAUCACACAUAUCGUACAAUGCCAACGUCUCAGAUGUGGUCUUACAUGUAAUCUUAUAUCGAUGCCACUGUCCCAGACAGGGUCUUACUCGCACACAUAAAUUGGAAUCACAUAUCGAUGCCAACGUAUUAAACUUGGUCUUACUCGCACACAUAUAUCGGAAUCACAUAUCGAUGCCAACAUAUUAAACAUAGUCUUACUCGCACACAUAUAUCGAUGCCAUGGUCUUACUCGCACAUCAUAUAUCAGAAUCCUAUGUCAUGACAUAUGUAUCCUAGCUAUUCCUAAGGUUCGUACGGGGCUUUCGAAUGUUGUAACUCGAUCGAAUCAAACUCGUACACAUAGAUUCCAAGCUUAUACAUAUUCGGCUUCCACAUAAAUACUAUCACAUUGUUCAUUUUAGCAUAUAUAGUUUGUAUUUAAUCAAAUAAAUAACAUCUAUUUGUUUAUAAACUUACAUUGGACAACAAUAAUCGAAACGGGAUGACUAUUCGACAACUUUGGUUUUUCCCUGAUCCAAAUUCGAUUUCUUUUGUUCUUGAUAUAAACAUAUUCAAAUUAAACUCAUUCAAACAUAAUUAUAUUCAAUUUAGUCCACAAACACAUAAAUAGGAAAAUUACCAUUUUACUCUUGACAUUUUACACAUUUUACAAUUUAGUCCAAAUUGUAGAAAACAUAAAACAUGCAAAAUUUGCACACACCAUGCUUAGGCCGAAUGCUACCCAUGUUCAUACAAGUCCAUACAUUUUAUUUAUUUCACAUUUUAGUCCCUCAAUUUAUUAUGUUUGCAAUUACUCAAAAGCAUAAAAAAUUCCAAUACAAAACAUAUUAAUCCAAAACAUAUCCUUCAUAAUUCAUCAACUAACAUCACAAAACUCAAAUAUUCAUCAAUGGUAUAACUCAAAAUAUUCAUCAAAAUCAGAAAUACAAGCAUGGGCUUUGUACAUUACACUGCAACGAUCUCAAAAACGUAAAAAUUAUCAAAAACCGAGCUAGUUUCAUACCUUGAUUAAGCUUAAAAAUGGCUGAACCUUUGAAAACCUUUUUUUUCUAUUUUAUUUUAACAUUCGGUCAUGAAGAAAUAAAAGAAAAAUGCAUGAUGAAUUUUAGUAUAACAUAUAUUAUUAUAAUAACAUUUUAUUAUUCAUUUACUAAUAUAACCUUUAAUGAUUUAAUAUAACAACUUAAUAAUGCAUGUCAUUACCGUCUAUUCAUUUAUUCAAUGGCAUAAUUGCAACAUAAAUACUUCAAAUUAUAAAGACACAUUCAAUUCAGUCCUUACACAUUAAACCAUCAAAUUUUUAUUUUACGUGAUUGAGCCUUUUUAUUAAAUCGGGAACUCAAACAACAAAAUUAAAACACAAAAAUUUCACAGAUAUUAAUUCACACAUAAUAAACACAAAUUAAUUUUUAAAUAUUUUUCUGGCUCAGAUUCGUGGUCCCGAAACCACCGUUCUGAAUAGGGUCUAAAUCAGGCUGUUACAAUUCCUGACAGCUUAAAGUGUGUUUUCAUAUAGUAAAUGGAUCCCGAACGAGCUUUAGCUGACGAUGUGGAAAGUAAUGCGCCUGCCCUCGCUCAAGGGGUAGCGUUGACUGAUUCUAGGCUGAUUUCGAGUAGUCACGAGGGAGAGGCUAAAUAAGCCUUUUUCUAUAUGAUGAGUGAGUGGUUCACAGAGUUCGUUCGAACGAAUCCGGCUACUCAACAACCUCCACCCCCACUUGUUCCUCAACAAAUUCUCGUUGUUCCUCAAGCUAUAGAUCAGAUGCGAUUUAACAAGCCGUAAGUGGAUAAGAUUUAUAAACAUGGGGCUAAGGAGUUCUGGGCUACCGUUGAUGGCGAUGCUGAGAGAGCUGAGUUCUGGCUUGAGAACACGAUUCAAGUAUUCAAUGAAUUGUCUUGUACUCCUGAUGAGCGUAUCAAAUGUGUUGUAUCUUUGCUAAGAGAUAAUGCGUACCAUUGGUGGAAAACAUUGAUACCUGUGGUUCCAAGAGAAUGGGUUACCUGGGAGUUCUUUCAAUCUGAGUACCAAAAAAAGUACAUAAGUCAGCGAUUUCUCAAUCAAAAGCAUAAAGAGUUUCUAGAAUUGAAAUAAGGCCGGAUGACUGUCACUGAAUACAAAAGAGAAUUCGUAUGUUUAAGAAAGUAUGCCUAGGAAUAUGUUUCCAUUGAAGAAAAUGUGUAAACUGUUCGUUGAUGGACUGAAUGACGAUAUAAAAUUACUAGUUAGAAUUCUAGAGUUGAAAGAAUUUGUGGUACUCGUUGAAUGAGCUUGUAAAGCUGAAGAUCUUAGCAAAGAAAAGAGAAAAGCAGAUUUUGAAGCAAGAGAUUCGAGAAAAAGAUCAACUAGUAAACCUUAUCAAUCUGCAUCAAAGAAAUUUGAGACUCGUUCAAUCGUUCUAAUGCAUCGAUGAGAUAUUCAAGCAGAGAUAGUGAAAAACAACUUGUGAGUUCUAAAGCUCAAGCUACGUCCAUUGUUAGUGUUGGCAGUGUGAGACAAAAUCGAGCCGAGUGUAAACAUUGUGGAAAACGACAUAGCAAUGAUUGGGGAUUGAAUGAUCGAGCUUAUUUUAAAUGUGGAUCAUUAGAUCGUUUUAUUCGUAAUUAUCCUAAGUUGGCUGAGCAAAAUAAAGUACAAAACACGAAGCUGAGUAAUACUGCAGUUAAAGAUAUACCAUCUAGAAACACGAGAAAUGUGAGUGGUAGCCAGAGAGCUACUAAGGAUUCUACUGUGAGUUUAGAGGCCAGAGCACCUGCAUGAGCCUACACUAUUCGCGCUCGCGAAAAAGUGUCAUCUCCAAAUGUUAUUACCGAUACUUUCACUUUUUAUGAUACUAAUGUGAUUGCAUUAUUAGAUCUAGGAUCAACUCAUUCGUAUAUAUAUGUGAAUUUAGUAUCCAGUAAGACUUUGCCUGUAGAGUCUACUGAAUUUGUGAUUAGAGUAUCGAACCCCUUAGGCAAGUGUGUCUUAGUUGAUAAGGUGUGCAAAAACUAUCCAUUGAUGAUUCGGGAUUUCUAUUUUCUGGCUGAUUUGAUGUUGUUACCAUUUGAUGAAUUUGAUAUAAUUUUAGGUAUGGAUUGGCUAACGCUAUAUGAUGCUAUAGUAAACUGUAAAAGAAAGACGAUUGAUCUGAGAUGUCAGAAUAAUGAGAUUAUCCGUAUUGAAUCAGAUGAUUUGAAUGGUUUACUAGUAAUGAUUUCAUUGAUGUUAGCUCAAAAAUAUGUGAAAAGAGUUGUAAAGCUUAUUUUUCUUAUGUGUUCUAUACAAAUGUGACUAAAAAGAAGAUUGAAUCAGUGCCAGUUGUGUGUGAGUAUCUGGAUGUGUUUCCUGAAGAGUUACCGGGUUUACCGCUGAUCCAAGAAGUUGAGUUUGGUAUUGAGUUAUUGUCGGGUAUUACGUCGAUAUUGAUAACUCCGUCCAGAAUGGCACCCACAGAGUUAAAAGAAUUGCAAGGCCAGUUGUAAGAGUUGAUGGAUAGAGGAUUUGUUAGACUGAGUUUCUCUCCCUGGGGUGCUCCUGUGUUGUUUGUGAAAAAGAAAGAUGGCAUGAUGAGAAUGUGUAUAGACUACCGUUAGCUUAACAAAAUAACAAUCAAGAAUAAAUACCCUCUACCAUGGAUUGAUGAUUUGUUUGAUCAAUUGAAAGGGGCUAUAGUGUUUUCGAAAAUAGAUUUGAGAUCGGGCUAUUACCAGUUGCGAGUUAAAGACUUUAAUGUGCCAAAGAUUGCAUUUAGAACGAGGUACAGACACUACAAAUUUCUUGUUUUGCCCUUCGAAUUAACAAAUGCACCUACUAUUUUUAUGGACUUGAUGAACCGGAUUUUUAGGCCGUAUUUGGACCGAUUUGUAGUUGUGUUUAUUGAUGAUAUCUUGAUCUACUUUCGUGAUGAAUCUGAACAUGAAGAACAUUUAAGAAUCGUGCUACAAACUUUGAGAGAUAAACAGUUGUAUGCAAAAUUCAGAAAUGUGAGUUUAGCUACGAGAGGUUAGUUUUCUAGGACAUAUUAUUUCAGCUGAUGGUAUCUUGGUUGAUCUGAGUAAGAUAUCUACGAUUAUAGAUUUGAAGCCUCUGAGAAAUGUUUCUAAGGUCUGCAGUUUUCUGGACUAGCGAGAUAUUAUAGAUGAUUUGUGAUAGUCUUUUCGAUGAUUGCGGCUCUGAUGACACGAUUGCUUCAAAAAGAUAUUAAGUUUGAGUGGUCAGAUAAAUGCCAAAAAAGUUUUGAGCAAUUAAAAGCUUUAUUGACUGAAGCUCCAGUGUUAGUUCAGCCUGAGUCGGGUAAAGAAUUCAUAAUUUUUAGUGAUGUAUCGUUAAAUGGCCUAGGUUGUGUUUUGAUGCAGGAAGGCAAAGUUGUAGCUUAUUCCUCGAGACAGUUGAAGCCACAUGAAAAGAAUUAUCUGACAGAUGAUCUUGAAUUGGCUGCAAUAGUGUUUGCGUUGAAAAUUUGGCGUCACUAUUUGUUUGGUUAGAAAUGCCACAUCUUUACCGAUCACAAGAGCUUGAAAUAUUUGAUGACUCAGAAAGACUUGAAUUUGCAACAGCGGAGAUGGUUAGAAUUAUUAAAAGAUUAUGACUUGAUAAUUAACUAUAAUCUGGGAAAAGUGAACGUAGUUGCUGAUGCUUUAAGCCAAAAGUCCUUAUUUAGUUUAUGUACUUUGAAUACACAUAUGACUUUGUCUGAUGAUGGUUCGUAAUAGCCGAGUUGAAAGCGAGACCGUUGUUCAUACAGCAGGUUUGUGAGGCUCAAAAGUUUGAUAAUGAAUUGUAAGUAAAGCGGGUUUAGUGUGAGUUGAAUCCUGAUUCAGAGUUUCAAGUUGAUUUCGAUGAUGGUUUGAGAUUCAAGGAUCGAAUAUGUGUUCUGAGAAAUUCAGAGUUGAUUCAGAUGAUUUGGAAUGAAGCACAUAGUAAUUGUUUAUCAGUGCAUCUAGGAAGCACGAAAAUGUAUAAUGAUUUGAAACAACAUUAUUGAUGGCAUGACAUGAAACGAGAUAUCUCAAAAUUUGUUUCAAAAUUUUUGAUUUAUUAGCAAGUCAAAGUUGAACAUCAAGUGCUGUCAGGUUUAUUGCAGCCAAUCAUGAUUCUUGAGUGGAAAUGGGAUAGAGUGACAAUGGAUUUUGUAUUGGGUUUGCCUUUAUCUCCGAGAAAGAAAGAUGCGAUUUGGGUUGUUGUAGACAGAUUGAUGAAAUCAGCUCAUUUUAUCCCUGUACGUAUAGAUUUCUCGCUUGAUAAAUUGGCUGAGUUGUAUAUCUCUGAAAUUGUUUGAUUGCACAGAGUGCCAUUAUCUAUUGUUUCAAAUAGAGAUCCGAGGUUUACAUCGCA